rnacentral:lncRNA from 1 species
GUCGGCUUACAAUCGCCACUUCACACAAUACAUAAAUAUAGCAUACAUCAUCCAGGAUACAAUCAAGGUCCAACUACGGAACCAAAAUAAAGAAAGACAACCCCAAAUGAUAGAUCCCCGAUCGCCCCAACUGGGCUCCUCUACUGAUCAUCCGGAAAAGAAACAUAGUAACGGCCCGAAUCCUCGUCGAACUCCCACUUGAGUUCGGUAGCGUCCCCUGUACUGGCAUCAUCGGCACCUGCAUCUGUUUGGAAGUAUCUCUGAGUCACGGGGACUAAGCAUUCUCACACCCUCGUGAUCAAAACUAUUUAAGCUUAAAGGUAGGAAAGGUAGUGAGGUGGAGCUGCAGCAAGCACUAGCAUAUAUGGUGGCUAACUUACGCAAAAGAGAGCGAGAAGAGAAGCAAAGCACGGUCGAGAAGCUAAUAAUGAUCAAGAAGUGAUCGUGAGGCUACUUAUGUUCAAGCAUAACACGAUACCGUGUUCUCUUGCCGGACUCCGCCGAAAAGAGACCAUCAUGGCUACACACGCGGUUGAUUCAUUUUAAUUAGAUUAAGUGUCAAGUUCUCUACAACCAGACAUUAACAAAUUCCCAUCUGCCCAUAACCGCGGGCACGGCUUCCGAAAGUUCAAAACCUUGCAGGGGUGUUGAGGGAGUCCUGGAUUAGGGGGUCUCCAGACGGCCGGACUAUAUCCUUUGGUCGGACUAUUGGACUAUGAAGAUACAAGAUUGAAGACUUCGUCCCGUGUCCGGAUGGGACUCUUCUUGGUGUGGAAGGUAAGCUAGGCAAUACGGAUAUGUAGAUCUCCUCCCUUGUGACCGACUCUGUGUAACCCUAGCCCCCUCCGGUGUCUAUAUAAACCGGAGGGUUUAGUCCAUAGGACACAUACAAUCAUACCAUAGGCUAGCUUCUAGGGUUUAGCCUCUACGAUCUCGUGGUAGAUCAACUCUUGUAAUACUCAUAUCAUCAAGAACAAUCAACCAGGACGUAGGGUAUUACCUCCAUCAAGAGGGCCCGAACCUGGGUAAACAUCGUGACCCCUGCCUCCUGUUACCAUCCGCCUUAGAUGCGCAGUUCGGGACCCCCUACCCGAGAUCCGUCGGUUUUGACACCGACAUUGGUGCUUUCAUUGAGAGUUACACUGUGUCGUCGCCAUAAGGCUUGAUGGCUCCUUAGAUCAUCGGUAGCGAUGCGGUCCAGGGUGAGGUUUUCCUCCCCGGACAGAUCUUUGUAUUCGGCGGCUUCGCACUACGGGCCAACUCGCUUGGCCAUCUGGAGCAGAUCGAGAGCUACGCCCCUGGCCAUCAGGUCAGAUUCGGAAACUGAAACUACACUGCCGACAUCCGCGGAGACUUGAUCUUCGACAGAUUCGAGCCCGUGUCAGGUGCGCUGCACAGUCACGACGAGCACGACGUAACUCUGCCGUCGGACAGUGUUCAGGAGAUCGCAUCUGUAACUACUUCGACCUUCAAUCCGGAGCAAAUUGCGCCAUCCAAGGACGGAGGGAUAGACCCUGCCAUGGAGGCCGCACUCUCAGUGGCGAUGGAGCCGGAUACUGACUUCACCCCUUACGAGAGUCGUGUCGCCAAACCACUGGAUUCGUCUCCGGCCACGGACUCCGAGCCGCCUGCAUCCGUGCCCAUCGAAUCCGACUGGGAGCCGAUCAUGGAGUUCACCUCCGCGGAUAUCUUUCAGCACUCGCCUUUCGGCGAUGUGCUAAAUUCAUUAAAGUCUCUCUCCUUGUUAGGAGAACCUUGGCCGAACUAUGUCCGGCUAGAAUGGGAUACGGAUGACGAAGAAAUUCGCUGCCCGCCCACCACCCACUUAGUAGCCACUGUCGACGACUUAACCGACAUGCUCAACUUAGACUCCGAAGACAUCGACGGCAUGGACGAAGAUGCAGGAGACGAACAGGAACCAACGCCCACAGGGCGCCGGAUAGCCACUUCAUCACAUGACAUAUACAUGGUGGAUACACCCAAAGAAGGCAAUGGCGAAGAGACAGUGGAGGAUGGCCCCUCCAAGAAGCAACCCAAGCGCCAACGUCAGCGGUGCCGCUCUAAGUCCCGCCAUAGCAAAAACAGCGAUAACAACGCAAGAGAAAAUAACACUCCAGUCGAGUCUAGAGGAAACGACGACCACAUUGCCCCGGCGGCAGAGCACGAUAAAGCUGCAAGCGGCGAACAUAGUACGGAUCCGACGUCCGAACAUGGCGACACUGAGUAUAAACCUCAUCAAACCCCCUCUGGGGAGGAAAAUAGUCCGGACGAAGAUGCACACAUCAUCCUGGAAACGCACUUGGAGCAAGAGAACCUCCGCAGAAGGCUUAUUGCCACAGCGAGGAGUCUGAAGAGGCAGAAGCAAAGGCUUAAGGCCGCACAAAAUACACUCAACAGCAGGUGGAACAAAGUGCUCGACAACGAAGCAAAGUACGGUGGAAGUUGCCACACAAAGAGCUAUCCAAAGCACAAGUUGUUACCUGAAUUCAACGACGAGGCCUUAGAGCCCACACAGCCAAAAAAUGAAACGGCCAACCAGCCGGAUCCACCACCUUGUGACCGCGAUAGAGCGGAUAACAAAUACGCACAUAAGUCAACACAUGAUGUACGUGAGGACUUGCGCCAAAAAUCCGGUACGACCAGAUCCAUAAAAUGGAUCUAGGAAGCAUGCUCCGGCACAAAAUCAAAACCAAAUACCACAACCAUCUGAACGCCAUGGUACAUCCAAGUACAGGGGUGCCGCACACCCCCUAUGUUUCACCGAUGAGAUGCUGGACCACGAAGUCCCAGAAGGAUUCAAACCAGUGAACAUAGAGGCGUAUGACGGGACCACAGACCCUGGGGUCUGGAUUGAGGACUUUAUCCUCCAUAUCCAUAUGGCUCGCGGAGACGAUCUCCAUGCCAUUAAAUACUUGUCGGUCAAGCUUAAAGGACCAGCUCGGCACUGGCUGAAAAGCCUCCCCAAAAAUUCAAUUGGAAGUUGGGAGGAGCUCGAGGACGCUUUUCGGGCUAAUUUUCAAGGAACCUACGUCCGACCUCCGGAUGCAGACGAUUUAAGUCAUAUAAUUCAACAGUCCGGAGAGUCCGCCCGAAAGCUUUGGAAUAGGUUUCUCACCAAGAAGAACCAAAUCGUCGACUAUCCAGACGCCGAAGCCUUAGCAGCUUUCAAACAUAGCGUCCGAGAUGAAUGGCUCGCCAGACACCUCGGCCAAGAAAAACCGAGAACAAUGGCAGCUCUAACAAGUCUCAUGACCCGCUUUUGCAUGGGCGAAGACAGCUGGUUAGCCUGCAGUAGCACCAGCGACCCAAGCACAUCCGAAGUCAGGGAUGGCAAUGGAAAACCAUGACGCAAUAAAAGCAAGCGUCAAAAUAAAGAAGAUAGCCCAGAUAAUACGACGGUAAACGCCGGAUUCAGGGGCUCUCAACCAGGUCAGCGGAAAAAGCCUUUCAAAGGCAGCAGAGAUGGACCGCCUGGCCUAAACAAGAUUCUUGACAAACUAUGUCAGAUUCAUGGCACCCCCGAUAAACCUGCAAAUCACACCCACAGAGAAUGUUGGGUCUUCAAGCAGGCAGGUAAGCUCAACGCCGAACACAAGGGGGGGAGACACCAAGCGAAGACGAGGAUGAGCCUCGCCAGCAAAGCACUGGAGGACAGAAAAAAUUCCCACCAGAGGUUAAAACAGUCAACAUGAUCCAUGUGACGAAGAGGAGGAGCAAACAUGCACUCUGAGACACACGCGCCAUAGAGCCCGUCACCCCUAGGUUCAACCCCUGGUUGGCCUGCCCGAUCACUUUUGAUCGCAGGGAUCACGCGACAAGCAUCCGGCAUGAAGGUUUGGCGGCCUUGGUGUUAGACCCAAUAAUAAACGAAUACCAUCUCACAUGAGUCCUCAUGGACGGCGGUAGUGGUCUAAAUCUGAUAUAUCAGGACACAGUCUGCAAAAUGGGGAUAGACCCGACAAAAAUAAGCCACCGUACUACUACCUCCAAGGGAGUAAUACCAGGCCUAGAGGCCCGUUGCACAGGCUCUCUAUUACUAGAGGUUGUAUUCGGUUCUUCCGACAACUUCCCAAGCGAAAGGUUAACUUUCUGCAUCGCUCCAUUCCAAAGUGGCUAUCAGGCACUACUCGGAAGAGCGGCUUUUGCUCGUUUUAAUGCAAUCCUGCAUUACGCUUCUCUCAAGCUUAAGAUUCCCAGUCCACGUGGCACCAUCACAGUUAGCGGAAAUAAUGAGCGUGCUCUACGCGCGGAAGAAUGUGCGGCGGCUUUAGCCGCCCAGCACUAGACGACCUCACCAACCAGGAAAAAUGACAGGUCAUCAAGACCACGGACACGGUUAGACGAGUCCGGUGCACCACUACAUAUACAUGAGAUUGGUUUGAUGAUCAAACCCUCCUAGAUGGUACCAGGGGCUUCCCGCAUGUAAUCAGGGCUAGUCCGGCUCAACUUGACUUAUCUUGAAUUUUAAUGGUUUAUUGAUAAUAACCAAUUUUCUGGCACGGCAACUUUCACCUAAGUUCUUCUCUUUUACAGAUGACAAUCGUGCUACACCCAUCCAGGACACGGCACAACGGAGACACAGGCACAGACGUGCAGCAGGGACCCGCUCAAAGGUUUCUUUUUAGAUUAAGACCCUGUGUAAACCUUUUUUACUGUCUCUUGUUGUUCACAUCCUCCGGAUACUCAAUACAACCGAGAAGGAUGCCGACGUAUUGGCAUGUGGCCACGUCAGGAUAUUGCACGUACCUGGACAUCCGUGGUUUAUUAUUAAGGGCCUCGUUUAGCCCGGCAUAUGUUAUAAAGACCAAAUACCUUAGGGAGUGUUCGGCGUCGCGAGUUUGGCCUUAUAUGCAUCAGCUCCGAAUCAUGUCUUUGGUCAAAUGUUGGGUUUGCCCGGCUCCCACGUUUUGGUACCUUACAUUCCACUAUAUCGGCUAAGGUAGCACUGGGAGAACUACUACGAUUGUGCCCUGGUUCAUCCAGAUGAGCACCUCAGUAGAGAAAGCCGAAAACUGACUGUCAUGAUAAAGCGCGAGACUGGUCAGCCACUUGAUAACUCAACGGAAUCUUCAGGAUUCCUCCGCAUUAACGAAGGGCCCUUUCCCGGUCAUGUACGUACGCGCCCCAUAUUCGGACAAGCGCAGAAGUAUCAGGGGCUAUAUAGUAGCCCCACCGUCAAACUCCUAUGGCUAAGUGAAAGUGUUAAAGCAAUAUAGUCUGAUUGCCUCGUUCACUGCGCUACCACCUCCUUAAUGGACCAAGACGUUGGAUCAAGUGUGAAUAUGCGUUUUUUGCGAACACCCCCGCAUUAUAUGCGUGGGGGCGGAAGCCGACGAUUGCAAACUUUCAGAUUAUAUACAUAUCUACAUAAACGGCCGCACAGAAGGCAUCAUAAUACUUUCAGGCAAAAGUAUAAAUAUAGCCUUGAUAGCUCAAUAAAACAUUAUUUUUACAAUGGGAGUUCAUGUCACUAGAACAUAAUAUUCUUUGAGCACUGAGCCUCUAUCGAAUGAGCACCUUCAAGAACUUAAAAGUAGUGCUCAGCAGCCACUCGACCCACGGCCGAACCCUGUGUUGCAACAGUGGUGGCCUCCAUCUCCGCCCAGUAUGCCUUGACACGGGCAAAGGCCAUCCGCGCACCCUCUAUGCACGCCGACCUCUUCAUAGCAUCAAUGUGCGGCACAACACCAAGGAAUUGUUGCACUAAACUAAAGUAACUAUUCGGCCUUGGCCCACUCGGCCACAGAUGAUCCACAACAGACCUCAUGGCAAGUCCGGACAACCUAUGGAGCUCGGCCCACUCAGCCAUUUGCUCAUUCAACAGCAGCGGACGCACUGGAGCAUGGAACUGUGACCAGAAUAGCUUUUCCACUUCGCGAUCUUUUUGAUCCUCGAAGUACUCGGCCGCAUCAGCAGCGCUUGCCGCCAAAUCCACGUAGGCAUCCGCAGAACUCCAUAGUUGAUCAAGAGGUGCAUACUUCGGAUCUCUGAACUUAGUCCGCAACAAAAAGGGCUUCCCAGCUGCGAUAUCUCCAGCUUGAUGCAGCUCCUCCUUCGCCGCUCGUAUUUUGGAACGGGCUUCCUUGGAUGCUACCAUGGCCUUCUCCAGGUCCGUUGCCUUCACACGGUUUUCUUCUUCAAGAAGCUGGUAAUGGUCGGCGGCAUCUUUCAACUCAACGGCCAUCUUGGCCAUUCUUUCCUUGCUCUGGCAAUGUGCGGCAUGUUCGGCCGUCAGCUCUUCGACCGCCUUUAGAGCGGCCGCAUCGCUAUUUCUGGCUUGCUCCUUGGCUCGGGCAAGUUCCGCCCGAAGGGUCUCCACUGUGGCAGCUCCAUCUGCAGUCACAACAUAUUAAAGAUACUGGCAUCAUGCUCCUCUUACUAUGUGUUGAUCACCGGAGAAAUCGCUUACCCUGUGCCUCGUCAAGCCGCUUGUUGACAAGCACGAUGUCGGCAUCGGCCGCAUCAAGUUGCCGCUUUAGCUCGAAAAACCCAUCAGUCCGGCUAGCCACCGGAGCUUCAGCCACCUGCACAUAAAGGCGGUCUGGUCAUUACCUGGGACUAUGAUCCUCUGUUUGCCAUUGUUUUCGACGACAACCAGAGUCUCAGGGGCUACUAUCUGCAUAGGGCACACCUAACGUGUGCGGUACUGUCAAAAACAUACACUAUUUCACGUACCUCAAAGCCUUUCAGCAGACUCAUUAAAGCUUCAUGCAAUCCGCUUUCAGCGAAUGAAAUCCUUUCAAUUACCAUACCCAUUAGCAUACGAUGCGCUUCUAAGAUGGCCGCUUGCUCCAGAAGAUCCUUCAGUGCGUCCGACCGCACAUUGUACAGUUCCGGACGCUUUCUGUCGCUCUCUUUAGGACCCGAAUACUGAGGACUCCGGGUGGCCAAGGGAUUACCCCCUGGCCUUGGCAGAUCAGGAGAAACCCUCCGCGAUGACACUUCAGGGUCGCCCGCCUCAUGAGGCAGGGUGGCAGGGGGAGGUGUUUCGCUCUCCAUCAUCUCCGGAAGAAGAUCCCCCGAAGACAAACUCUGUCGAGAAGGGCUACGAUCCGAACUACAAGAUAUAAGCUUCGGUUAUUGUCUUCAGAAGUAAGGUAGGAUAUUUUCACUACAAAGUACUUUUCGAUUAUUUACAGCUCGGUAGAGGGUUGAUUCCCUUGUGGACAAUGUGCGGCAAGGGUACCCCAGGUAGGACCCUCUGGCGAAGAUUUCUUCCCCCGUUUGUAAACCUCUGUUUCCGGAUCUUCAGAGGUAGUCCUCUUCCUUCCUUGGGGAGAGGGAAUGUCAGAUUCUUCUCCUUGGUUAUCCUCCUUCGCUGAGGUGCUCGUUCCCCCGGCUGGGAUGAGUAGUGAGUGAGGCUCGCUUCCAGACUCUUUAUUCCCCCCUUCAUCUUCCUUCGGGGGCACCUGAUAAGGCGUCGACUCCAGCAUUCUGUCUAGUACUGGAUUUGCCAAGCCCUCGGGAAGGGGGGCGGACACCUGAUCAUCUUUGCCUUUGUUAUCCAGUCCUGGUCAAAGAGCGACUUUUCAGCAUGAUGUUGUGAUAAAUAAGAGAAAUAGUGUGUUCGGCCAUGGGAUUACUUACUUGGGUAUCCGGGCGAUUACAGCUUAGACCCGCGUCCUCGGUGGUGUCCGGACACUUUAUUUGUGGUCCGAAGAACAACUUGUACAUCUCCUCGGGUGUCAUGCCAAGGAAGUGUUGAAUGAUUCGCGGUCCCUCCGGGUUGAACUCCCACAAACAAAGAGGUCUACGCUUCCAAGGCAGGACCUGCGAACUAGCAUGACCUGCAUCACUGUGACCAGGUUGACGUCUCUCUCAAUAAGAUCUCGGAUGCAACUUUGCAAUAUCGACACAUCCUUUACUGGACCCCUGUUUAGCCCCUCACUGAUCCAUGACGUCCAUUGUGGUGGGGGGCCUGAGCAAAAGGCAGGGGCGGCUUCCCACUUGGCACUCCGGGGAGCUGUGAUAUAAAACCACUCCCGCUGCCACAAACUGGACACCUCUGGGAAGGAACCCUCUGGCCAUGGAGCAUCAACGCUUUUGCUUAUUACGGCACCUCCGCAUUCUGCGUGCCGCCCCUCGAUCAUCUUCGGCUUCACAUUGAAGCUCUUGAGCCACAGGCCGAAGUGAGGGGUAAUGCGAAGGAAGGCCUCACAUACGACGAUAAACAACAAGAUGUGAAGGAGGGAAUCCGGGGCCAGAUCAUGGAAAUCCAGCACAUAAUAGAACAUGAGCCCCCUAACAAAGGGGUCCAGAGCGAGGCCUAGUCCUCGGAGGAAGUGAGAGAUGAACACAACACUCUCAUUGGGUUCGGGAGUGGGGAUGGCCUGUCCUCAGGCGGGCAGCCUGUGCGAGAUUUUGGCAGUCAGAUAUCUGGCUUCUCUUAGCUUCUUGAUGUCCUCCUCUGUGACGGAGGAAGGCAUCCACUGACCUUGGAGGUUGGAUCCGGACAUGGUUGAAGGUCCGAAGCACCUGACCUGAGGCUGGCGUGUUGGAACUCGAGGUGGGGGAAGGAUUCGAUUGAGCGCGAGAGGAAAAAGUGACAGGUCUUGGCCUCUUUAUAAAAAGGGUGAAUGUCAAGCGUCCUCCUCGCGGUCGUCUUGGACUCGCCUAAAAUCGAGGAGUUACCCACGUCCGUAUUGAUGAGAAUCCCGUAAUAAGGGGGACACGAUCUCUGCUUCAACAAGACAUGUCGAGAAAACCGCCUCGCGAUAUGUGCAGUGCUGGUUGAGAAAAACGGUUCGAAUAAUGACCGGGCCAUGACGUAACGUCGUGCUGUCAAAACGCGUCAGCAGAUUAGAUUUGUGGAAAUAUUAUUCUCUCUACGGUGGUAGGUGGAAAUUAUUUUGCAGGGACGGACACUAUCCUUGUGUUCAAAAUCUUCCAUGGAGUAUUUGGAGGAGGAACCCGCCAUGCAAUGCCGAAGACAAUACUGCGCGCCGGACUCAUCGUCAUUGAAGCAUGGUUCAGGGGCUACUGAGGGAGUCCUUGAUUAGGGGGUCUCCGGACAGCCGGACUAUAUCCUUUGGCCGGACUGUUGGACUAUGAAGAUACAAGAUUGAAGACUUCGUCUCGUGUCCGGAUAGGACUCUCCUUGGCGUGGAAGGCAAGCUAGGCAAUACGGAUAUGUAGAUCUCCUCCCUUGUAACCGACUCUGUGUAACCCUAGCCCCCUCUGGUCUAGAUAUAAACCAGAGGGUUUAGUCCGUAGGACACAUACAAUCAUACCAUAGGCUAGCUUCUAGGGUUUAGCCUCUACGAUCUUGUGGUAGAUCAACUCUUGUAAUACUCAUAUCAUCAAGAACAAUCAAGCAGGACGUAGGGUAUUACCUCCAUCAAGAGGGCCCGAAUCUGGGUAAACAUCGUGUCCCCUGCCUCCUGUUACCAUCCGCCUUAGACGCACAGUUCGGGACCCCCUACCCGAGAUCGGCCGGUUUGACACCGACAGGUGUCCCAACUUAGCCCAUCACAAGAUCUCACGAUCAACGAAGGAUAUUCCUUCUCCCGAGAAGACCCGAUUAGUCUCGGAAUCCCGGUUACAAGACAUUUCGACAAUGGUAAAACAAGACCAGCAAAGCCACCCGAUGUGCCGACAAAUCCCGAUAGGAGUCGCACAUAUCUAGUUCUUAGGGCAACACUGGAUGAGACAGGCUACGAGUAAAACCAACCCUCGAGUUUCCAUGACGUGGCCCCGCAGGCGGCUCGGUUCGGACCAACACUCAGAGGAGCACUGGACCGGGGGGGUUUAAAAUAAAGAUGACCCUUGAGUCUGCAGAACCCAAGGGAAAGGUAUAUGGUGGUAGGUAGGAAAAUGGUAAAACCAAGGUUAGGCCUUGCAGGAGGAGUUUUAUUCAAGGCAAACUCUCAAGGGGUUCCCAUAACACCCAACCGCGUAAGGAACGCAAAAUCAAGGAACAUAACACCGGUAUGACGGAAACUAGGGCGGCAAGAGUGGAACAAAACACCAGGCAUAAGGCCGAGCCUUCCACCCUUUACCAAGUAUAUAGAUGCAUUAAAGUAAACAGUAUAUAAUAAUGAUACCCCAACAAUAUCCAUGUUCCAAACAUGGAACAAACUCCAACUUCACCUGCAACUAGCAACGCUAUAAGAGGGGCUGAGCAAAGCGGUAACAUAGUCAAACAACGGUUUUCUAGGAAAGGUGGGUUAGAGGCUUGACAUGGCAAUAUGGGAGGCAUGAUAAAGCAAGUGGUAGGUAUCACGGCAUAGCAAUAGAGCGAACAACUAGCAAGCAAAGAUAGAAGUGAUCUCGAGGGUGUGGUCAUCUUGCCUGCAAAAUUCUCAGAGUUGACGAAAGCUUGAUCCUCGUUAGCGUACACAACGGGUUCCUCGAUGACGUACUCGUCUCCCGGCUCUACCCAAAGCAAGAACACAAGCAAAUGACCCACAAUCAAUCACGGUGCAAUGCACAAUCAACAUGAUGCAAAACAUGACAUGACAUGCAGGAUGUGAUAUGCAAUGCAUAUGCAUGCUCCGGAAGGGAAAGAUUGAACAAGACAUCAACUUGGCAAACCAAGUGCUCCGCUAUAAAGAUGAGUUGAUUUCGGUCGAAAUCAAUAUAAAGAUCACCGGAAUCGGAUGCACGGUUUGCAAAUGGCAAGCAAAACAAGAAUGGCACAAUUCUGCGAUUAACGGCACGAUGCCAUCUAGAAUGCAAAGAGAAACUAAGCUACUGCACUCCAACAUAGCAACAAAGCACAUGGAAGUGAUCUACUCAAGAUGCUUGACAAAAUAUGAACACUGAGCUAUGGCUAAAACACACUAUAACAGGUUCAAACAAGCAUGGCAAAAGUGCAAAAGAUAUCAGCUUCACAGACUUGGUGAAAAUACUAACAUGCCAGAAAUUAACAUCAGGAAGCAAUGUUUAGAGCAAGCAAACAACAUGCUACAGGAAUAGAUCAUAGCAAACAAAGGCAUGGAAUGAAUCUACUCAAAGCCUAGAACAAAAAUCCCUUACUGACCAUGAGCCAAAAAGGCACAGAAGAUAUGAUGGCACCCAUGUAAACAUAGCAAGUUUCAUUAACAGAUUUAGACUUAGUAGAAAACUGAGCAUGGCAUAAAUAGAGUUAUGAAGGCCUCUUUACGAGCUCGAUUCACUCACCACAAGGCAUUGCAUGACAAGAUAAGAAUAGCAUCAGCAAGAUGGCAUGUGUAUGAAGCUAACCAAGGCAAGAGCAAGUUCAUAGCAUGCAUGGAUCAACUACAAAAACCCUCGCAAAAUUGAUUAACAUGUAAACAAUCUGCCAGGAACAUUUUAUAGCAAAAGUGGAGCAAGAUUGAGACAUGCUAGGGCACUCCAUAAUUGCAAACAUGGGCAUGGAUGGAUAGAGCAUAACCAUAUGUCCAAAUCAUCCUUACUGAAAUAACUCAAAACAAGCAUGGAUCUCACUGUAGCAUCAUGGUUACAUGGCAUAAAAAUAACAGCAGACCAACGACUUAGCAAAAUCCUAAGUCCCUGAAAUCAGCAAUAUCACGAAGGCUACUUUGCAUGCUUGUGCUAGUCACCACAUUGAUCACAAAAAUACAUGGCAAACGCCCCUGUAAAUAUGGCAUGUCAUAGAUCAAAAUACAUAUAGAGCUCAUGACCAUAUGAUGCACACAACAAAUGUGACAAAUAUGACCCUCAUAAUCUGCCAAGUAACAGGAGCUAACAUUUUAUAGCACUCUUGCAUCAAUUAUUUGGGCAUCCAGAUGAACUCAAACAAGCAUGUCACAAUGGAAGAAAAUCAAGAGCACAUCAUGAUGAACAUUUUGAUAUAGUAUGCGCAUGAAACAGAGCUACGGUGAAGAAGUUAUGAUGCGUUGAACAAAGCAAUAAAAUAUGAGGGGGAAAUGACUUACGGAAAAUUAGACCUCCGAAAUUCCCAAAUCUAGGGCUUUGACUUGCAUGGAUGUCGAGGUUCGACUAGAGUGGAUCUCGCCGGAAUACGUCGCGGUGGCCGGAGUCCGAAGCGGAGGAGAAGGGCGGGGAGGCGGCGCUGGUGCGGCGGAGUGGCCCCGGGUCGGCGAGGUGGCGCUGGUCGCCCGGCGGCGAGGCGGUGCUGGUCGCCAGGCAGCGCUGGUGACCGGGUAGCGGCGCAGAGGAGCAGGGAGGCGNNNNNNNNNNNNNNNNNNNNNNNNNNNNNNNNNNNNNNNNNNNNNNNNNNNNNNNNNNNNNNNNNNNNNNNNNNNNNNNNNNNNNNNNNNNNNNNNNNNNNNNNNNNNNNNNNNNNNNNNNNNNNNNNNNNNNNNNNNNNNNNNNNNNNNNNNNNNNNNNNNNNNNNNNNNNNNNNNNNNNNNNNNNNNNNNNNNNNNNNNNNNNNNNNNNNNNNNNNNNNNNNNNNNNNNNNNNNNNNNNNNNNNNNNNNNNNNNNNNNNNNNNNNNNNNNNNNNNNNNNNNNNNNNNNNNNNNNNNNNNNNNNNNNNNNNNNNNNNNNNNNNNNNNNNNNNNNNNNNNNNNNNNNNNNNNNNNNNNNNNNNNNNNNNNNNNNNNNNNNNNNNNNNNNNNNNNNNNNNNNNNNNNNNNNNNNNNNNCGGCAUUGCCACGUGGCGAGCAGAGAGUGGCUGCGGGCAGCGGCGGAUCCUGUCUGGCGGCGGCCGGACGUGUCUAGUGGCGGCGGGGGCGAUUUGAUCUAGGUUUUGACUUGAAUUUUGGACGGGGGGGGACAUAUUUAUAGGUAGGAGGAGUUUGGAGUGUCCAAAUGAGGUGUAGUUUUCGACCACGCGAUCGUGAUCCGACGGUGGAGGACAUGGGAGUGGUUUGGAAGGGUUGUUGGGCCGUUUUGGAGGGGUGUCGGGCUGCAACACACACGAGGCCUUUACGGUUCCCCGGUUAACCGUUGGAGUAUCAAAUGGACUCCAAAUGACACGAAAUUUGACAGCCGGUCUACCGGUGGUGUACCAAGGCCACUUGGCAAAUCUCAAUCCAUUCCGAGAACAUUUAGCACCCGCACACGAAAAGAGGCAAAAAGGGGGCACCAGAGGACGUGGGAGUGUCGGAAUGCAAAACAGACAAUGGGGAAAAUGCUCGGAUGCAUGAGACGAACAUGUAUGCAAAUGCGAUGCACAUGAUGACAUGAUAAGAAAUGCAUGACAUGAACAAAAUACAAAGCGAAGACAAAACCCAACCACGAAGGGAAUCUCGUAACUUAAAGCCGAAAAUGGAAGAGUCGGAGUUACAAAUAUGGCAAAAUACAUCCGGGGCGUUACAACACUCCACCAGUACAAAAGGAUCUCGUCCCGAGAUCUAGGACUGAAAGAACUCCGGAUAUUUGGAACGGAGGUGAUCCUCGCGUUCCCAGGUGUCUUCUUGGUCGGAAUGGUGUGACCACUUCACUUUUAGGAAUUUGAUAGACUUGUUGCAAGUCUUGCGCUCGGUUUGUUCAAGAAUAGCAAUGGGAUGCUCAUGAUAAGACAGAUCUUCUUGGAGAUCAAUCUCUUCAAAGUUGAUGGUGCUGUCAUGAGUCUUGAAGCACUUGCGAAGCUGUGACACGUGAAACACGUCGUGCACAUUCAUGAAGUUGGACGGAAGCUCAAUUUGAUGGGCGAGGUCACCUCUUUUGCCAAUGAUCUUGAAAGAACCCACGUAUCUAGGGGCAAGAUUCCCUUUGAUACCGAAGCAACGAGUGCCUUUCAUUGGAGAGACGCGGAGGUAGACAUGGUCUCCGAUCUCGAAAGCCAAGUCACGAUGCUUGCUAUCAUAGUAACUCUUCUGGCGCGAUAGCGUGGCUUUGAGAUUUUCACGAAUGACUUUGCACAUUUCUUCAGCUUCUGUGAUUAAGUCAUUGCCAAGAAGUUGGCAUUCACCAGUCUCUGGCCAAUUAAGAGGAGUAUGGCACUUUCUGCCAUAGAGAAUCUCGAAUGGGGCCUUGCCCGAACUCGCUUGGAAGCUGUUGUUGUAGGAGAACUCGGCAUAUGGAAGAUAAUCUUCCCACUUCAUACUGAAGGAAAUGACACAAGCCCUGAGCAUAUCUUCAAGAAUUUGAUUGACUCGCUCGACUUGUCCACUAGUUUGAGGAUGGAAGCCUGUGCUGAAGCGAAUGUUGGUGCCCAUGGCCUUCUGGAAGGAAUUCCAGAACUUAGAAGUAAAGAUGCUUCCAUGAUCUGAAGAUAUCAACUGCAGAAUGAUGUUCAAAGAGACAAUCCUGGAGGUGUAUAGCUCUGCCAACUGAGCUGCUGUGAUAGAUUCUUUGAUAGGAAGAAAAUGAGCCACUUUAGUAAGCUUGUCGAUGACGACGAAGAUAACAUCAUUGCCACGCUUGGACUUGGGAAAUCCAGUCAUGAAGUCCAUCUCAAUAUGGUCAAACUUCUAUUCUAGAAUGGCAAGAGGUUGGAGGAGACCAGCUGGCCGUUGGUGUUCUGCUUUCACUCUUCUGCAGACAUCACAUUCCUUCACGAACUGAGCAAUUUCUCCCUUCAUUCGAGUCCACCAAUACGACUGCUUGAGGUCAUGGUACAUCUUCGUACUUCUAGGAUGAAUGGAUAGAAGGGAAUUGUGAGCCUCGUUCAUAAUGACUUUCCUUAGGUUGCCUUUAGGAACCACAAUUCGAUCCUCGAAGAAAAGAGUAUCUUUGUCAUCAAGGCGAUAGCACUUGUACUUGGGUUGGCUCUUGGCAAUCCCAUUUUUUACCUUCUUCACCAUGGCAUCAAGAAGUUGUGCCUCACGAAUUUGAUCUUCCAAAGUAGGAGAGACUUGGAUAUUGGCAAGAAAGCCUUGAGGAACAACUUGGAGAUCAAGUUUGCGGAAAGCUUCACAAAGAUCUGGUUGGAAGGGCUUGAGAAUUAAGCUGUUGCAGUAAGCCUUCCUGCUCAAAGCAUCAACAAUGACAUUGGCCUUGUCUGGAGUAUAUUCAAUACUCCGAUCGUAUUCUUGAAUCAUUUCGACCCAACGAGUCUGCCUGAGGUUGAGGUUGGGUUGAGUGAAGAUGUACUUGAGGCUCUUAUGAUCCAUGAAGAUGUCCACUUUCCUUCCCAACAAGAGACGUCUCCACGUUAAUAAAGCAUGGACAACUGCCGCCAACUCGAGGUCAUGAGUGGGGUAGUUCUUUCGUUGGGCUUCAACUGGCGAGAGGUAUAGACCACAACUUUCUUCUCUUGCAUUAACACAGCACCGAGACCUUGCAGGGAGGCAUCACAGAAAACUUCGAAUGGGUUGGAUUCAUUAGGAGGAGUCAAAACAGGAGCUAUGACUAACUUCUCUUUGAUGGUGUUGAAAGCAAUGUCACAUUCAGGCGUCCAGACAUACUUGACAUGUUUCUGAAGGAGGUUGGAAAGAGUCUUAGCAAUCUUAGAGAAAUUCUCAACGAAUCUUCGACAAUAGCUUGCAAGCCCAAGGAAACUGCGGAGCUGCUUCACAUUCUGAGGCGGUUCCCAAUUCACAAUUGCAGACACCUUCUCAGGAUUAACAGCUAUGCCCUUGGCGGAGAUGAUAUGGCCAAGGUAGAGAACCUCAUCGAGCCAAAACUCACACUUUGAAAACUUCGCAUAGAAUUGAUGUUCUCUGAGUUUGUCGAGUACCAAUCUCAAAGGCUUGGUGUCGGUGUCAAAACCGGCGGAUCUCGGGUAGGGGGUCCCGAACUGUGUGUCUAGGCCGGAUGGUAACAGGAGGCAGGGGACACGAUGUUUUACCCAGGUUCGGGCCCUCUUGAUGGAGGUAAAACCCUACGUCCUGCUUGAUUAAUAUUGAUGAUAUGGGUAGUACAAGAGUAGAUCUACCACGAGAUCAGAGAGGCUAAACCCUAGAAGCUAUCCUAUGGUAUGAUUGUAUGUUGUGAUUGUUGUCCUACGGACUAAAACCCUUCGGUUUAUAUAGACACCGGAGAGGGUUAGGGUUACACAAGGUCGGUUACAAAGGAGGAGAUAUCCAUAUCCGUAUUGCCUAACUUGCCUUCCACUCCAAGUAGAGUCCCAUCUGGACACAAGACAAAGUCUUCAAUCUUGUAUCUUCAUAGUCUAACAGUCCGGCCAAUGGAGAUAGUCCGGCUGUCCGGAGACCCCUAAUCCAGGACUCCCUCAGUAGCCCCUGAACCAGGCUUCAAUGACGAUGAGUCCGGCGCGCAGUAUUGUCUUCGACAUUGCAAGGCGGGUUCCUUCUUCGAAUACAUCACAGAAGAAUUUGAAUACGAGGAUAGUGUCUGACCCUGCAAAAUAAGUUCCACAUUCCACCGUAGAGAGAAUAAUAUUUUCGCAGAUCUAAUUUGCUGACUUGUUUUGGCAGCAUGACGUUAUGUCAUGGCCCGGUGAUUAUUCGAACUGUUCCCUUUAACCAGCCCCGCACAUAACGCGAGGCAGUUUUUCGACACGUCUUUUCAAAGCAGAGAUCGGGUCCCCUUAUUACGGGAUUCUCAUCAAUACGGGUGUGGGUAACCCAACUGCGCCAUUAAUUAUGGUGCUUGGGGGAUAAGCGAGUUUUACCAGGCAAGUGGGAACGCUCAGUUUUGUCCACCCAUAUAAAAGGAUAAGGAUUCACCUUCCUAUCCACGCCUUCUUCCUUCUUUGCUCAUCCGUUUUUGCACACUCGAGCUCUAGCGCCCAAGUCCACACUUCCCACCUCAACCUUCUCCAACCAUGUCUGGAGCGGGAGGCAGGUGGAUGGUCUCCUUCGUCACGGAGGGAGACAUCAAGAAACUGAGGAGAGCCGGAUACCUGCCCGACGACAUCACGCACCGGCUCCCAGAUGAGGGGCAGCUCAUCCCCACCCCCAGGCCCCAUGAGAGGGUAGUAUUCCUCACCCAUUUCCUCCGCGGACUGGGAUUCCCUCUCCAUCCAUUUGUCCGGGGGCUCAUGUUCUCUUACGGCCUGGAUUUCCAUGAUCUGGCCCCGAACUUCGUCCUCAACAUCUCAGCGUUUAUCAUUGUGUGCAAGGCCUUCCUCCGCAUCAAGCCCCACUUCGGCUUAUGGCUGAAGACCUUCAAUGUCAAACCGAAGGUGGUGGGCGGCCGCCAGGCGGAGUGCGGAGGCGCCAUGGUGGGCAAGAUGCCCAACAUAACAUGGCUCGAGGGCUCCUUUGUGGAAACCAUAAAGGGGUGGCGAUCGGGGUGGUUCUACAUCACCGAGCCGCGCGAGCCUGUAUGGGCAGCGGCCCCCGAGUUCUGAUCUGGCAUCCCCACGCGGCUCACCUCCUGGAAAGAUAAGUGCAUGUCCUGGGGUAGUUCGGAAGAGCUGACCGGACUCCACACAUGUAUUCAAAACAUGGUGAACAAGAAGCUCAAGCUUGUCAACAUAGUCCAAGUUAUGCUCAUCCAUCGGAUCCUCCCGUGCCAACAACGGGAGUUCAACUUGUGGGAGUUCGACCCGACGCAGCACCGAACUCUGAACAGGCUCUUCGACAUGACUCAUGAAGAUGCCUGGAGGGUGCUGUUCAAAAGUGCCGAGGUCCCCCCUCCUAUUACUGAGGAUCGCGGAUUUGGCGCGAAGCACCAAGCCAGUGUGAUAAGCUACUUUACCUUUCACGGGAUACUUAUUUUUUUAUAGAUUAACUCUAUGCGGGAUCUAAACUCCCGUACCUUUGACAGGACUGGCAGAAGAUGGCCGGACAGAUCGACUGUCCGGCUCCUUUUCCUGAAGGCCCCGCAGACGCUCUUCUGGCGAAGAUGUUGACUCCGGCCCCUUAUACAGUGUCGGAGAAGACCAAGAAGGCCAAGGGAACCCGAAAGAGUUCCCGACACCAGAUGUCGUCGGACUCACCGUUCGAUGACUCUGCGGCGCACUCUUCCCCCAAGACGAGGAAGAAGAAGAAGAAGAUGCUCCCCCACUGACUGGGGGAGACAGGAAAAGGAAGGCCGCCCCAACUAGGGAGGUCGGAGGGUCCAAGAAGGGAAGGACUCUCCUUCUGGGUAGUUCCGCCGCCGCCGACGAAGGCGAAGACGAGUGGUUGCCCAGGGCCAAGCCCCCAAGGAGAUCGUAAGUAUUCGGAUACCAGAGUAACUCAUGGAAUUCCUUUGUCACACUGUUUUCCCUAAUCGCCAAACAUAAUUAUGCAGGCCGCCACGAGCCAAUAUCGAGGUAUCAUCGGACGGCUCCUUGAGCUUGUCGGACAUGGAUAGCGAUCCAGUCCCGACCGCCACCUCCCCUCAUCCUGCCGACGAUGUUGAGGUGUUGUCUCAAGAGGCACCGGAUCGAGGGGAGACAGUCCCGGAGGCGCCUCAAGGCGACCUUCCGGACUCCGGGAGCCGAGGGGGCGGGGCCCCUGAGAGCUCUGAGUUUGGCCCUCAGCCGAACACCGCGCCGGACCCUCCAGCGGUUCCGGGCUCGGGCAGGCGGCCUCCUUCUAAGAGGGGCAAGACGCCUGUGCUGGUGACCUCUGUCCAUCCAGAGGCGCCGGACAGUCUGCUGGAAGCGCUUCGCAGCGCUUCCAUCGACGAGGAGCACCGCACUAUCAUGAGUGCGGUGAUCCAGAAGGUUCAAUCCGCCAAGAGCAGAUUGACUGAAGCCUGUGCCAGCCUUCUAACAGGCUUCGAGGUAAGUGUUUUAAAAUGUAGUAAAAAUAUUACCGCAUAGACAGUAGCCCUUGAUGCUUUGUUCGGUGUUCACAAAGAAAAGCCGAACAGAGGAUCAAAUAAUAUCGCAGGAGUCUAAUAUAAGUGUGUCAAUAUGCAUAUGCAGACUUCGCUGCUGGCAUGCGCCGCACUGACUGCGGAGGUCGCCGUACUGAAGCAGGACCUCGAGGGGUCCAGGAAAGAGCUCGGCCUUGUCAAGAGGCAGCUCGAGGAGAACAAGGGUAAGUAAUACCCUGUCUAUAGAUAUGUAUAUAUAAAAGAAGACGUGAUUGCAAAAUGAGUGGAUCAUCGUAUAUUUGCCAGGGGCCACGACUGAGGUGGCGACCCUGAAGCAAGCGCUAACCAAGGCCGAAGAUAAAGCGGCCAAGGAGCGCACCGAGCGGGAAAAAACAAGAGGCUCGUGUGGGCGAGGUGCAGCAAGAGCUCCAGGCUCUCGUGGCGAAGCACGAGGCAUUGGAGCUUGACUCAAAGACGCGGGAGUCUGAGCUUGCCACGGCCCUCGAGAGCGCAAAAAGUGCCAAGGCUGAAGCCCAAAAGGCUCUCCAAGAGAUCGACGCGAUGAAGAAGAUGGCGGCGGGUAAGGCUUUCUAUAUGCAAAGCAAGCAUGUAAAAGUAAAUUACCGAUUACUUACCCGGAUCCGGAGCUCUUCAGGAGCAUUCGCAGAUUUGCCCCGCAGCGUGUCGGAUGCCGCGCAGUUUUACCACGCCGAGGAGGGAAGCUCAACGGAGAAGCUGUUCUGGUCUCAGUAUACUGGGACCGAACACCCGAUGCCUCUGAGCGACCAGCUAAAGCAGCUGGUCGAGCUGCACAAGGCGGCCGAACAGGCCAUGAAGGGCCUUAUAGUCCGGCUGUGGCCUGGCGACGCCCUUCCGAAAGCUACUUCGGCCUGGUGAGGCGGCUUGUAGAUGCCUGCCCAUGGCUGGAGGUCGUCAAGCGGUCCGUCUGCAUCGCAGGUGCACGCCGGGCUUUCGCCCAUGUGAAGGUGCAGUGGGCCAAGCUAGACGUCGUGAAGCUGAUCAAGGAAUGGCCGCCACAGGGCAAGGAGCAUCGCACCCCCGAAAUUUAUUAUGAGAGUGUCCUGAAGGGUGCCCGUCUUGUGGCGGACGAAUGUUCAAAGGAUGUAAUAUUUGAGUAAACUUGCUCGUGUGAUCCUGUAUGAUGAAAACUUGUUUCAUAUGCGCUACGCAACGCUUGUGUGAAUUUAAAAUAUUACCUUCUGUUUGGUUGUUUAUCCAAUCUGAGAGAUGGCUAGUCCUCGGCUUCUUCCCCCAUGCCACUAGUGCUGGGGUGUUCAGGAUAAACCUGAGCACUCUUGUUCCCAUGUUUGGGUCCUUCGAGGGAGGUGCUUAGCACAACGAACCAGCCAACCGGACUAAUAAUGCUUUAUCACUCUCACUUAGCCAUAGAAUUCUAUAAUUUUAAAUUUCGGCGAAGCCACUGGUAUUCGGAAGGCUGAAUUCGGGGCGCGAUACACGUCUUUAAGCCGGACAGGGCCGGCCCCUCGCCCUAAGCGGCAUAAGUCUUUAGGGACUCGAAAACCUCACCGAAUAGCGACCAGUCUCCCGCCUUAUCAUGAUAGUCAGUUUUAGCUUUCUCUACUGAGGUGCUCAGCCCGGCAGAACCGGGGUACAAUCGCAGUAGUUCUCCUAGCGCUACCUUAGCCGAUAGAGCGGAACAUAAGGUGCCAAAACAUAGGAGCCGGGUGACGGUGUCCUGGACUAGGGGGUACUCACCACGUCGUCUCCCGAUCUAUUAGAUUGGGCCGAGGACCCCCGUGGCCGUAUACUCACGGGCCAAUUCGGACGGCUACCGCAUACAAGGAAGAUUCCACAAGACUUGGCGAUCAAGACAAGGACUUCUCCCCACCGGCGCAUUCGGCUAGGACUCUUGUUAUCCUAGGCCUCCGGUGCAUUAUAUAAACCGAGGCCAGGCUAGUCGAUAGAUAUACAAUAUAUACAACAAUCAUACCAUAGGCUAGCCUUCUUGAUCUCGUGGUAGAUCUACUCUUGUACUACCCAUAUCAUCAAUAUUAAUCGAGCAGGACGUAGGGUUUUACCUCCAUCAAGAGGGCCCGAACCUGGGUAAAACAUUGUGUCCCUUGUCUCCUGUUACCAUCCGCCUAGACGCAUAGUUCGGGACCCCCUACCCGAGAUCCGUCGGUUUUGACACCGACAUUGGUGCUUUCAUUAAGAGUUCCGCUGUGUGAUCGACAAAAGGAUUGAUGGCUCGCCUGCAGAUCAACUGCAACUUCGGCAUCUUCGUCACCAGCUCGACUGGUCACCUUGGUACGACCAAGAAUUGCGCCCCGUGUUUGGAUCACCAUGUCCGGAUGAGGGCCUUCAUCAAACAUCAUCUCCGAUGUCUAUCAAGAUCACGAAGGAAUCAUCUAUGGAGCUCGGGGGCUCAACAUCAACAUUGCCCUCAAGCGACCGUGCUGUUUUUCUGGACAGCGAACUCGUAUCUGCCACCACCACCUCCUCGAGUAUCGCUUUGACGAUCGCUUUGGUGGAAUUGUGCGGAAUUGAGUCUACAACAACCCUGGAAAAUUUCGUCGAGUUCCGAUGGAGGAAUCCCUGGCAAUCCACGAUAUACCGGAGCCCUGUCAAAUCUGGACGGGAAUUUGGAUGAGUUUAGGGCGUGGUGUCCAGCUUCUAUAUCGGACGUCCUUUGGAAGAUCCAACCGUUGAUCGGCUGCGUAAUUCCUAUAUCUACCACCUCUCAAAAUUUCGGCUCGAUCCGACCGUCCAAACUCCGGGAACCUUCCGAUUAGUGCAUCAUUUUUCGGAUCUGUUUUCUGCGCGAAAACGAAUCCGACCCGAGUUCAUCUUUUUUAUGAACAGGAUUUCGGACAUUCCUUUUGAAGGAAGUUUUGUAUGGGGUAUUGUGUUUUGUUCCUGAACACAUCCCACUAACUGUAAGAUCUUUUGAACAUGAUCUUCAACAUCAUGCUGGUGUCAAACCAGUCCGGCAAUAUUACUCCAUGGCUGCCGACCUGCGCUAGACACGGCGUCACUUUGUUGAGCCCGAGCUCAACUUCUUCGGAUCAUCAUCUCGGCAAGCCGAACAAGAGCCCGGCAUCGCGAAGGAUAAAUCAUCACCAACAUCGCCGCCCCACGGAUUACACGGAGCGGGCAUACUGGCAUCGCCGCACGGUCGCUUCAUCAAGCCGGCAUCGACAACGUCACGACCUGCAUCGACAGAGCCGCACUAUUGCUUCUUCAAGCUGGUGUCCAUCACGCCGACCUACUUCGACUCAUCGGCUGACAUCGAGGCUUCGACAUCUCGGCUGGACCAUGGGCUUCGCCAUCUCUUCAUCAACCUACUCCGGACACUUCGGCGUCACUAGCCGACCAUCUUCAUCAUGUUAGCUGGGCCGAGGGCUUUGCCUCAGAGAGUCAACCUUUACCAGCAUUGCCAUACCGUCAUUUUAUCGCCCAUCAGGCAAUGGGUGUGCGGAGCGGGUCCCAAUUUUACGAAUCACCUUCCUUCGGAUUGCUACAACAAAUAAACCAGGCGUUAUUAAUCCCAGUAUUUUUUGCUUGUUUGGGUUCAUUUUUCCCAAGGAAUUAUUACUCUGGUUUGUCCGUCAUAUGUACACAGGUCUAUCAAAUGGUGGCUGCAUUAACGACAGUCGCAUGGUGGUUCGAUCAGUUUCCGUACAUAGUCUGGCGAACGCCGCACUCGGAGCUCGGACUGACCUGCGAAUUCAGGCUUUGCCACGCCUUUACCGCAUCACGCCGACGCCCUGCAUCGACUUGACUUCGGCGCCACGCCAUAUUUCUUUUAUUACUCACUUUGCAUAAAUUAUUUAUUAUGCAACGAUUUUUUUUAAUUAUCAUUAUUACUAUUAUCUCCGGUUUGCACUAUUUUUUAUGCACACGAAAAUGACCCGGAGACUUCGGCGUCACUCUGCCGGUCUGCAUUGAUCGUGCUAUGUCACCACUUCGGCGUGUCAAGCUCUCCGCUCCGCCACCUCGGGACCGGCUUGAGGGAUGGAACCUUGCCCCGCAUCAAGCUCGGACCGCGUCAUCAAUACCAAACACAUUAACCAGCUAAGUCGCUUUCAUGCUCAAAGCUUUAAUUUCUAACUUGCGUUCGGUUCGACCAAGCAUUAUACUUUUUUGGAAAAAAGUUGCUUCUAAAAAAUUUCCUUGUCCAAACUUUGUUUGUGACGCAUAAAUUCAAAUACCCCGUUUACUUGGGGGCUUCCUUUAUGAAGCUUUUCCUGUUGCAUAUGAUUAUACUUGUACGGCUUCGUUCCUUGUUCGUGUAUUACGCCACAAUAUGCACCACAUUGACUUAAGCGAUUUGCAAGCUGGGUUGCCUCGCUCCUGUGUUUACCCCUACGUUCCCGAUUGUUCGGCUAGGGAGUAAAGGGAGCACCUCUGCGAUUGUCACGAUCGAGUCACCCGAGCCGGACCUCAGACUGGGUGAAGCCGAAAGCUAGUGCUCUUAUAGUUAUUCAAUGAUGGACGGCACACAACGGAACUCAUGAGUACAAAAAAUAUAUUGCACAAGUCUCAUAAUAACAAUGAGCACCGAAGAAAGGUAUAGGUGGGGGUACUAUUUUCUUCGAAGAUGCUUCUUGCUCUUCGCAGUAAUAUAGCAUAAGUUCCCUGAGCGCGCUUUGUCUGUUACAGCCUUAUGGCCUGAUUGCCUAGUUAUUGGAAACACCGUCGAUAUUCUCGACCGAUGGAGUACAUAACACUUUUCGGUCCUUAACCGAAGAGGGAGAAGCCGGUGGUCGGUUAAGACGCGUUUAAAGUUUGGUUGAACAUAGAUAUGAUAUAAGUACCUCGGUACAUGCAAUCAUUCUUCUACCCAAGUCACUUGGGGGCUCUUAAGUUUAUUUGAGCCGUUUUAUAAUAAGUGUUCUUCUUCUCAGUCGUUGCAAAGUUCUAUUAUUAUUAUUUAUCACUCCUUUUUUCGAUGCGAGUGUGCGGUCACUAGCCGAGGAGCCUAAUUUCUCUCUCAAAGCCGCUAGAGUUUAGUUUGCUAAACUGGCCUAAUGAGAAGUACUCUGCCCUCGGGAUAGGAGGUUGAAGCCGUAGGCUGACCCGCUCGAAGUCUUGAGAUAGGAUGUGUCAUGUUAAAGGACGACAGAAGCACUUCUUUUUUCUAAGACCAAUUUUUGGAUUGGCACCGAACACUUGAUCUUGUUCGGACGUCAUGUUUUUACUGACGUUUCUUGGUUUUCCAAGCUUUUUGGCACUUUUAAACUAUUUGUGCUUUUCCAGCAUUAGUCUCGCAGUGCAACGCCGGACACCUUUAGGGAUUCGGCAAACACAUUCUCAGAUAUUGCUAUAUAUGCAUCGGUUUCGAAUUGUGUCUUCGGUCAAUAGUUGGGUUGCCCGGCUCCUGCACUUGCUUCCUACGUUCCGUUUUGUUCGGCUAGGCAUCCAAAGGGAGAACCACUGCGAUUGUGCUUCCAGCUCACAUGGUUAAGCACCUUAGUGGAGAAAGCCGAAAAUUGACUGUCACAAUAAGCGUAAACUGGUCAGCGAUCCGAUGACUAUGACGGGCCAUUCAUAACAUUGGCCGAAGUGUUUAUGGCUUGACCUCGAUUGUCUCCGAACACUAUCAGGGGCUAUUAACUGGCCUCCCAAACUAAAUCCUCGAUAUUUUGCUCUUACAUUCGAGCUGAGGUUUCAUGAUCAUGCUUAGCAUGACAACCCAAAGAAAGGAACUGAUAGCGGGACUAUUUUCUUUGGAAUACAUUUCUUCUGUUAAACAGUAAUAUAACAUAUCUCUCUACGUACCUUUGUUUAUAAAACCGUGUGGCCAGAUUGCCUUGGUUGUCGUAAAUCUUUGCCCUCAUAAAGGCUUUAUAAAGUAGGACAAACACUCCUCGGCUACUGGCCAAGGAGGUGGAAGCCGAUGGUCGGUCAACAAAGUUUGGUACAAUGCGGAUCCGAGCAUUAAUGACGUAAAGUACUUGGAUACAUAGAGUCAUUACACAUAAUUUGUGAUUUUACUAUGGAUAUUGAUCCUUAAUUUGGCCACCCGUGCCCGCAUUAAGGCUCGGGGGCUACUGGGGUUCGGGCUUAUUAUUUACAAAUAUUAAAGGGGCACAUCGAUCCCCUGAUCUGGUGUUGCCACCCGACCAGUGUCUCGGGGGCUACUGCAUUGCUUGUCCAAUGCAGAAAAUUUUAUGUGCAAUAUAGUUUCCGAGGAGAUUUUGAUCCUCAGGUUGGUCGGCCGCACCCAACCUGAGUCUUGAGUAUUGAGCACGCCGCUUUUGUGUCCCGAAGUAUUCUGCUGAGCUAGGACUUGAUCCUCAGGCCGAUUUUGCAAAUCAACCUGAGUCUCAGCGGCUACUGGGAUCAGCGGUCUUAUGUCAUCCUUCAUGUGCAUCUCGGGUUUUAGACCGAUACACACCUUGAGGGCUACUGGCUAUAUAUCUCGGCAGAGAAUAAAUUGCACCAAUAAAAAAUAUUGACAAAAAAUCGGCCCAUAGUCGGGGUGGUGCACCACCUCGGAAGCAGUCCGGCAUAAAGCUCGGGUGCUAGUGGCUGGCUCCAUAGAGGGCAUUUCUGGCAUUAAGCUCGGCUAAACUCCUUCAACUUUUUUGAACCAAGGUGAUAUGACACCUCGGAUAUAGUCCGGCAUUGGAGCCUAGACACAGUCCGAUGUUGGAGCUCGGAUAUAUUUCGGCGUUGGAGCUCGGAUAUACAGUCCGGCGUUGGAGCUCGGGUACAUAGUCCGGCGUUGGAGCUUGGGUACAUUCCGGCGCUAGAGCUCGGAAGCGGUCCGGCGUUGGUGCUCGGCUGCAAAAGAUACCUUGAAUGUAGUCCAGCGUUGGAGCUCAGACGCAAGAGGACCCUGCCUCCUGGGAACAACUUCAAACCCGAGGUGUGGCAUAAAAAUAAACAAGGCAUUGAUAAAGGCCGGAAACUUAAAGGGGCUCCUCGGAUACCCGACGUGUAAACUCGUCGAAUGCAUUUCGGCGAUCCUCAAGAUCGAAGAUAAAGAAGAUUUGUUGAACCAGUUUUCAAGACCGGCAACCGAAGAUGAAGAACAGUUCAGAAGAAUCGAGGAGCGUCCCUAACUUGAAGACCGGUUCAGGGGGCUACUGACGGUGUCCUGGACUAGGGGGUACUCACCACGUCGUCUCCCGAUCUAUUAGAUUGGGCCGAGGACCCCCGUGGCAGUAUACUCAUGGGCCAGUUCGGACGACCACAUACAAGGAAGAUUCCACAAGACUUGGCGAUCAAGACAAGGACUUCUCCCCACCGGCGUAUUCGGCUAGGACUCUUGUUAUCCUAGGCCUCCGGUGCAUUAUAUAAACCGAGGCCAGGCUAGUCGAUAGAUAUACAAUAUAUACAACAAUCAUACCAUAGGCUAGCUUCUAGGGUUUAGCCUCCUUGAUCUCGUGGUAGAUCUACUCUUGUAUUACCCAUAUCAUCAAUAUUAAUCGAGCAGGACGUAGGGUUUUACCUCCAUCAAGAGGGCCCGAACCUGGGUAAAACAUUGUGUCCCUUGUCUCCUGUUACCAUCCGCCUAGAUGCAUAGUUCGGGACCCCCUACCCGAGAUCCGCCGGUUUUGACACCGACACCGGGCAAACCCAACAUUUGACCAAAGACAUGAUUCAGAGCUGAUGCAUAUAAUGCUAUAAGUUCGGGGUGCCGCACUUGUGAAAGUGUUCGGACUUUUCACACCAUAUUGUGGGGUACGCAAGCCACUAGUGUAUUGGCCGUACCAAAGUGUACGGUUGCAAGGCGUCGUUAAUGAACACACACAUAUAUAUAACAAGAAUGCAAUAAUAGUCGUAAUGUCAUGCAUUGUUUAUUAAAAAAUUGCGUUAAAGUAGAUUGAUACAGAUAGUGCGAUAAGCAAAGACUAGGACUAUGACCCUUCCAAGGGCAAGCUGAGGAAUGAUAUUAAAUCGAAUAUUUCGCUCGUUACUAUAAUCAACCUGGGAAUUCCGUGGUAUGACGUAGAUGUCUGCCUCCUUGGUUGCUGCAUCAUGUGUUUGGCAAUAGUGCUGCCGGACAGUGUUUCUAGAGAUUAAGGUCCUGAAAAAAAUAACCAAAUGGGAAGCCCCUAGUGCGGUUUAAGCCGCGUCUUGGGGCGUGCCGCAGUUGUGCCCCCCUCCCCACCUGUGCCCAUGGUAUUUUGAAUGCAUAAUUAUGUACGCGCGGCACGAGUUUCGCCAUUGGGCUGGGAUUGGGGUGGUUAUCGUAUUGCUACGCGAGCUCAGAUCGCGCCAGGCGGUCUAUUUGCCGAUUGCCCCGAGCGCGCUUGAAGGUGUCCGGGCUUUGAAGCGCCGAACUGGUUGAUUGCCUUGAGAGGCUGCUUUGCGCUUCUGCUGCGAGGGCCGCGGUGUGCUCCUCUGUUCGAAGAGAGCGCUCUGUGUUUUCAUUGACUGUAAUAACUCCGCAAGGUCCUGGCAUCUUGAGCUUGAGGUAUGCAUAAUGCGGUACCGCAUUGAAUCUAGCAAAUGCGGUUCGCCCGAGCAGCACGUGAUAACCACUGCGGAACGGGGCUAUAUCGAAGAUUAACUCUUCGCUUCUGAAGUUAUCCGGGGAUCCGAAGACCACCUCCAGUGUAAUUGAGCCUGUGCAAUGGGCCUCCACACCUGGAAUGACGCCUUUAAAGGUCGUUUUUGUGGGUUUGAUCCUUGAGGGGUCUAUACCCAUUUUGCGCACUGUGUCCUGAUAAAGCUGGUUCAGACUGCUGCCGCCAUCCAUAAGGACUCGAAUGAGGUGGAAUCCGUCAAUGAUUGGGUCUAGGACCAGUGCGACAAAUCCGCCAUGACGGAUACUAGUGGGAUGGUCCCUGCGAUCGAAGGUGAUCGGACAGGAGGACCAAGGGUUGAAUUUUGGGGCGACUGGCUCCAACGCGUAUACGUCCCUGAGCGCACGCUUCCACUCCCUCUUGGGGAUGUGGGUUGCGUAUAUCAUGUUCACCGUAUGCACUUGCGGGGGAAACCUCUUCUGUCUUCCAGUGUGCGGCUGCCGGGGCUCCUCCUCGUCAUCGCUAUGUGGCCCCUUGUCCUUGUUUUCGGCAAUUAACUUGCCGGCCAGCUUGAACACCCAACAUUCCUUGUUGGUGUGAUUGGCUGGCUUGUCUGGGGUGCCGUGUAUUUGACACGAGCGAUCGAGUAUACGGUCCAAGCUGGACAGACCCGGCAUACUUUGUUUGAAUGGCUUUUUCCGCUGACCGGGUUUAGAGCCUUUGAAUCCGGCGUUGACUGUUGUAUCCUUAGUAUUUUCACUGUUAAUGUGGCGCUUAUGUUUGUUGCGACAUGACCUGCUAUUGCCAUCCUUGGUAUCUGAGAUGAUGAGGACAUGACUACCUUGCAUAUGACCAAAAAUAUUGCAUAUAUGCAUAUUUUUCAGGUGAUUUCUAGUGCAAACUAUUCAAUAAUCUAUUUAUGUUAUCCAGAACAAAAAUACUUCACACACUUUUGUGUUUUGUCUAAUUGCAGGUGUAUGGGACAUUUGUACAAUCCACAUAUGAAGAUAAGGAAGAAAGAGAUGUUUAUUUGCUGUCCAAAAAGUUCUCUCACGUCACUUUUGGCCCAAGAGAAGAUAGAGUCCAAGUCUCUCACGUUCUGGAUUCAGAUUCGGACUGCACAGACACACCUGACUCAAAACGCACACAAGUUUUUAAUACGGACUCCGAAUUGGGUGAUUCUUUUUUGUUGGAAACUAGAUUUCGUGCACUUUCCAACCCAAUUGGAAUCACCUUCAAAUUCGUCCAGAGCGUUGAGUUGUGGACGAAACAAUCUGAUGCUGCAGCAGAAUCCGAGUCAAACUACAAGUCCAAAGGUGUUACAUCACCUCCACUUGGGCCCAUUGGCCUUGUACGACCUAGAUUUAGUUUUAGGCUGCCUUGGGACGUCCUCCCACCUCCUUGGCCGCCACCCCUUGCUCCUAUAUAAGUAGAUCCAUCUAGUAGUUUUUCCUUGGGAUUUGUUUAGUUAAAAGUUAGCCAUUGCAACUUCAUGUACUUCGUUUGUGUCCAACGACCAGACCAAGACCGCUUCCGGAUCCCCACCAUUAUCAAUACUUCAUAUAUAUUCGCAAUAUUCAGAUUGCUUUAUCAUAUUCUUGCUCGUUCUUCGAUUGCUUGCAGGAAUAGACCUUCGUGGUCAUGUUGAUCGUGCUCCAGCGUGGUCAAUAACCUCUCGGAGUUGGUUUAGCGAUUGCUAAGGCGCAACGUCGUGCACGUUUGUAGUCGGAUCGUCAAAGUCGUCUCCACCAAAUCGAUAGUUAUCAUCUCAUCGAAAGACCGGGACACCCUCGCCUCUAUCAAGUGGUAUCAGUUUUCAGGUUGCUCGGUGAGAAUUUCCAGUUUUUCCUAGAUUAGAUUUAUUUUCUUACCUAUUGUCCAAGAAAAAGCUACAAAACAAAAGUUAGAUCUAUUCAUCCUUUGUCCUAGCCAGACUGAGCCUUUGCAAUUUUCUUUUCAUUGUUUGCAUUACUGAAUUAUCGGUUGCAUCGCCGUGUCGAGUUGCUGGUCUUAGUGUCUAGUUCCUUUAGAGUUUCGAGUUCUGUUCAUAUUAGUCACGUAGCCGCUGCAUCAUUAUCCCAUCCGCUGUCCACCAUCCCAUCCACCAAUUUCCACCACGUGCUACGCACUGUUUAUUGUCAUAAUCAUAGUUGAGGUCACUCACAUCUUCGCCAGAUCGAAUCUGCAUCUUAUCUAGUUUGUCUUGGAAAGAGGGAGAAAAAGAAGAUAAAGAAAAAAAAGAGAGAAAAAAGGAAAGAAAAAAAAGAAAAAGAGGGAGAAUAAAAAGAAAAAAAAGCGUGAGAAAAAAAAGAGAGAAGAAAAAAAAUUGGAUCUAUCUAGAAUCAAUCUCGUACCUGAAUUCGGAUUGGAAUCUGUUUUGCGCACUGUUCAGUAAAACAGGUGUAUCUUCCUCAUACGAAGUCCGUUUUGGCUCCGUGAGUACUCAAAUUGAAGAUAGCGACGAGCCGCAUCUAAAUAGUUGCAGAAGCUAGUUCAAUAUUUGACACCUCAAAAUCGGCUUCUAAAUAGGUCUUUUUACCCUCCGAAGUUCGUGAACACAGCUUGUUCCAAUUUUUCAGGCCAGUUUUAGAAUUCUUUGACUCCUCAUAUCAACUCGGAAUUGAGUGAUUCUUUUUGCAUUGGAAAGCUUGAGUUAGUAGCAUUCUUUGAAAGAAUUUAUCAGAAAAUUGUCUCAAACUUUUCAAGAUGAAAGUUGGAGAGAGAGUUGUUGUAUAUCCUGCUUGGCAGUUGUUUUUCAUCAUUAUCUUCACUGCCGUUGUGAUCUUCACUUAUAUCUUGCUGUCAAGAGCUACUUAGUAUCCUUCAUUGAUGCUAGUUGUGCUACGCCGUGACCUUAUUAGUGUUCUAGGCUCGCGUCUCUAGUCCGGUCUAGCCUAGGACCAGCACAGUACCGUCGUUGAGCGUUUAUUCAACAUUGCAUCUUUGAAUUGAUUAUUGCUAAUCUUUUGCUACCAUAUAUAGCCAACCCAGCUCCACAUAUUUCUACACUGUGUAUACGUACGCUCCCCUGGCAAUCGCUUUACUCAAUAUUUGGAGUUACUUGACACCGCUGGUUGCCGAUCACCGCCUGCUGCAUGGUAAGAACUUGUAAGACAUUGAUAUUUGCUUUACUGUGAGCGUUUUACCACCACAUCCUAGUAGUUAUAGGAACAUUAUUUUUGGGUUUUGUUUCUUGUUCUACUAAUCAUGACAGGAUCCAGAGUCAAUUCAUGGGCUUUGUCAAUCGCGGGAGACGUGCCACCACCUUUGCAAAUACCACAACCGUCACGAGAGGUGCACAAACAUCCAAAUGCACAUGAUCAGGUUAAUGUAUCUAUACCACUAUUUAAUGGCCGUUUUAAACCUGCUUUAUAUAUUAAAUGGGAGUUCGACAUAAAAAAUAUAUUUGCUUCCCAUAAUUUCAAUGAACAUAAAAGGUUAAGGUUGCGGUUGGUUCUUUCACUGGUUAUGCUUUGGUUUGGUGGAGUGAAUAUUGUCGGUUACACCCUGAUUAUAUACCUACUACUUGGGAUGAUUUGAAACUUGUCAUGCGACAUACUUUCGUCCCUGCUUAUUAUACUCGUGACAUGAUUAAGAAGUUGCAACACUUAAAACAAGGUAGUGAAACUGUAACAAAAUAUUAUGAUGAUUUACAAACUACCUUAUUGCAUUCCUCUUUAGAAGAAAGUGAAGAUGAUUUUAUGGAUAGAUUUUGGGGAGGAUUAAACCGUGAUAUUCAAGAGAUAUUAAUUCAUGAAGAGUGUUAUCCUAUGGACCAUUUGUUUCAUCUUGCUUGCAAAGCUGAACAGGAAAUAAAACGACGUGUUGGCCACGAGGAGAACAAGCGCACGGUGCACAUUCCAAGAGUUGAUAUGAUUGUUCCUUCAACUACUAGGCAUACUAUGACAACCACAUCCGUUGUUGUCAGGACUACAUCACCUCCACCAUGUGACACAUCGCCCCCGAGAGUGGCUACAUCAUCUGAGUUGAUCAUAAGAGGUAAUGACAAAGGUACUGAUCUUCCAUCUCUACAUGAGAAUGAUGAAUGCCUUGUCAAUUUGAAUGCACCAUCUGAUGAGCUAUCCACUACUUUGAUCACACCACCUAUUUUAGAGGACUACGUUGAUAAUUUGACUUUGCCAUGUGAUCAAACAACUGAAAUACCAACAAUUUUGAGUGCACCCAUUGAAUUAACUAUUGAUGCAAAAGAACCAAUGUUUAAUCAUUUUGAUAUGACCUCUAAUCUUGGUGAUGAUUCUGUGUUGAAUGACUUAUUGCAUGUUUGCUUAUUUAAGCAUGUUGUAGCAUGUAAAUUUGAUGCAAGUAAGGUUUAUUCACCAAUGUUGGUAUGGUUUAAUGAUGAACAUUGUCAAUCUUUUGAAAUGAAUAAGAGCUUCACUUAUAUGUGCAAACUGAGUUGCAAUAUUUUCAUGCCUUCUACUUCUUGUGCUAAUUUUUUGGCUUUAGAUUUUAUGAACUAUGCAAGUUACUCAUCUAUUCAUGUGUCAUAUAUGCAAAAAUCAAGGGAAGUAAAAAUGGAUGACAUAUACAUAUACAACAUGUACACCUUGUCUCUUUUGUUAGCCACAUUUCAGAUUAAGCAACGCCGAGGACGGCUUUGUUUUCAAGAAGGGGAGGAUGAUGAGGACAUGACUACCUUGGAUAUGACCAAAAAUAUUGCAUAUAUGCAUAUUUGUCAGGUGAUUUCUAGUGCAAACUAUUCAAUAAUCUAUUUAUGUUAUCCAGAACAAAAAUACUUCACACACUUUUGUGUUUUGUCUAAUUGCAGGUGUAUGGGACAUUUGUACAAUCCACAUAUGAAGAUAAGGAAGAAAGAGAUGUUUAUUUGCUGUCCAAAAAGUUCUCUCACGUCACUUUUGGCCCAAGAGAAGAUAGAGUCCAAGUCUCUCACGUUCUGGAUUCAGAUUCGGACUGCACAGACAUACCUGACUCAAAACGCACACAAGUUUUUCAUACGGACUCCGAAUUGGGUGAUUCUUUUUUUGUUGGAAACUAGAUUUCGUGCACUUUCCAACCCAAUUGGAUUCACCUUCAAAUUCGUCCGGAGCGUUGAGUUGUGGACGAAACAAUCUGAUGCUGCAGCAGAAUCCGAGUCAAACUACAAGUCCAAAGGUGUUACAUCACCUCCACUUGGGCCCAUUGGCCUUGUACGACCUAGAUUUGGUUUUAGGCUGCCUUGGGACGUCCUCCCACCUCCUUGGCCGCCACCCCUUACUCCUAUAUAAGUAGAUCCAUCUAGUAGCUUUUUCCUUGGGAUUUGUUUAGUUAAAAGUUAGCCAUUGCAACUUCGUGUACUUCGUUUGUGUCCAACGACCAGACCAAGACCGCUUACGGAUCCCCACCUUUAUCAAUACUUCAUAUAUACUCGCAAUAUUCGGAUUGCUUUUAUCAUAUUCUUGCUUGUUCUUCGAUUGCUUGCAGGAAUAGACCUUCGUGGUCAGGUUGAUUGUGCUCCGGCGUGGUCAAUAACCUCUCGGAGUUGGUUUAGCGAUUGCUAAGGCACAACGUCGUGCACGUUUGUAGUCGGAUCGUCAAAGUCAUCUCCACCAAAUUGAUAGUUAUCAUCUCAUCGAAAGAUCGGGACACCUCGCCUCUAUCAGGUACUGAUCUUCCAUCUCUACAUGAGAAUGAUGAAUGCCUUGUCAAUUUGAAUGCACCAUCUGAUGAGCUACCCACUACUUUGAUCACACCACCUAUUUUAGAGGACUACGUUGAUAAUUUGACUUUGCCAUGUGAUCAAACAACUGAAAUACCAACAAUUUUGAGUGCACCCAUUGAAUUAACUAUUGAUGCAAAAGAACCAAUGUUUAAUCAUUUUGAUAUGACCUGUAAUCUUGGUGAUGAUUCUGUGUUGAAUGACUUAUUGCAUGUUUGCUUAUUUAAGCAUGUUGUAGCAUGUAAAUUUGAUGCAAGUAAGGUUUAUUCACCAAUGUUGGGAUGGUUUAAUGAUGAACAUUGUCAAUCUUUUGAAAUGAAUAAGAGCUUCACUUAUAUGUGCAAACUGAGUUGCAAUAUUUUCAUGCCUUCUACUUCUUGUGCUAAUUUUUUGGCUUUAGAUUUUAUGAACUAUGCAAGUUACUCAUCUAUUCAUGUGUCAUAUAUGCAAAAAUCAAGGGAAGUAAAAAUGGAUGACAUAUACAUAUACAACAUGUACACCUUGUCUCUUUUGUUAGCCACAUUUCAGAUUAAGCAACGCCGAGGACGGCUUUAUUUUCAAGGAGGGGAGGAUGAUGAGGACAUGACUACCUUGCAUAUGACCAAAAAUAUUGCAUAUAUGCAUAUUUGUCAGGUGAUUUCUAGUGCAAACUAUUCAAUAAUCUAUUUAUGUUAUCCAGAACAAAAAUACUUCACACACUUUUGUGUUUUGUCUAAUUGCAGGUGUAUGGGACAUUUGUACAAUCCACAUAUGAAGAUAAGGAAGAAAGAGAUGUUUAUUUGCUGUCCAAAAAGUUCUCUCACGUCACUUUUGGCCCAAGAGAAGAUAGAGUCCAAGUCUCUCACGUUCUGGAUUCAGAUUCGGACUGCACAGACACACCUGACUCAAAACGCACACAAGUUUUUAAUACGGACUCCGAAUUGGGUGAUUCUUUUUUGUUGGAAACUAGAUUUCGUGCACUUUCCAACCCAAUUGGAAUCACCUUCAAAUUCGUCCAGAGCGUUGAGUUGUGGACGAAACAAUCUGAUGCUGCAGCAGAAUCCGAGUCAAACUACAAGUCCAAAGGUGUUACAUCACCUCCACUUGGGCCCAUUGGCCUUGUACGACCUAGAUUUAGUUUUAGGCUGCCUUGGGACGUCCUCCCACCUCCUUGGCCGCCACCCCUUGCUCCUAUAUAAGUAGAUCCAUCUAGUAGUUUUUCCUUGGGAUUUGUUUAGUUAAAAGUUAGCCAUUGCAACUUCGUGUACUUCGUUUGUGUCCAACGACCAGACCAAGACCGCUUCCGGAUCCCCACCAUUAUCAAUACUUCAUAUAUAUUCGCAAUAUUCAGAUUGCUUUAUCAUAUUCUUGCUCGUUCUUCGAUUGCUUGCAGGAAUAGACCUUCGUGGUCAGGUUGAUCGUGCUCCAGCGUGGUCAAUAACCUCUCGGAGUUGGUUUAGCGAUUGCUAAGGCGCAACGUCGUGCACGUUUGUAGUCGGAUCGUCAAAGUCGUCUCCACCAAAUCGAUAGUUAUCAUCUCAUCGAAAGACCGGGACACCCUCGCCUCUAUCAGGUACCAUGGUUCUUUGAUAUGUUAUUACUGCGAGCCAGCCAGCUGUCUUCUCCCGCACAAAAGCGGGUCAGGAGCGUCGUGAGAGCUGCCAUAGAUUUCGGCUUUUCCUGACCAAGGUGCCGGGCUAGCCACUCGUCUCGGAUGUUGUGUUUGAAAGCCGCUAAGGCCUCCGCAUCCGGACAGUCGACGAUUUGAUUUUUCUUUGUAAGGAACCGAGUCCAGAAUUGCCUGGCCGACUCCUCUGGCUGCUGAAUUAUGUGGCUCAAGUCAUCGGCGUCUGGUGGUCGCACAUAAGUGCCCUGAAAGUUGUCGAGGAAUGCGGCUUCCAGAUCUUCCCAACAGCUAAUGGAGUCCGCUGGCAAGCUGUUAAGCCAAUGCCGCACUGGUCCUUUGAGCUUUAGUGGGAGGUAUUUGAUGGCGUGCAAGUCAUCACCGCAGGUCAUGUGGAUGUGGAGGAAGAAAUCCUCAAUCCAUACUGCGGGAUCUGUUGUGCCGUCGCAUGAUUCAAAUAUUUACAGGUUUGAAACCUUCUGGGAAUUGAUGUUCCAUUACUUCGUCUGUGAAGCAUAAGGGGUGUGUGGCGCCUCUGUAUUGGGCUAUAUCGCGACGCAGCUCGAAUGGGUCUUGCCCGCUGUGUUCGGCCCGGCCGGAUUUGCUUUUACUGUAUCCGGCAUGACGUUUAUCGUCUCGCAGAGUGGUGCGCCGUUGUGAUCCGUAGAUCGAUCUUGCAUGCUUUGCUUUGUCCUCCAAUAUGUCUCGCAGGUCUGGCGUAUCUCCCCAUGCCUUUUUAUUUGAAUGGCGUCGGGGUGGAGGCUGAGCUUUUGACUGGAAUACCUCUCUAUCGCGGCCACGAGGUGGCCGAUCAGCCGUAUCAUACGCUUCUUCCUCCAGUCGGGGUAGUAACCUGCACUUUGGGUAAUUCUUGGAGGGGCGCUCGAGUUUAUAUUCCUCGGCCGCGAGGACUUCAGUCCAUCUGUCAGCUAGCAGAUCUUGAUCAGCUUGAAGCUGCUGCUGCUUUUUCUCCAGGCUAUUUGCCGUGGCCAUAAGCCAGCGCUUGAAGCGCUCUUGUUCGACGGGAUCCUCUGGUACGGCGAAUUCACCGUCGCCGAGGCUUGCCUCAUCUUCGGAGGGGGCAUGUAAUUGUCAUCCUCCUCCUCUCCGCCUGCCGCUCUCUUAGGAGAGUUGGCUCUGUCAUCCUCCUACUCUAAAUCUUGCUGGAGGGGAUUGUUGUUGUCUUCGGCACUAUCCGGAGUGUUAUUAUCUCCUGUGUCGGUAUCACCACUUUUGCUUGGGCGGGACUUAGAGCGGCGCCACUGACGUCGGCGCUUGGGUUGCUUCUUGGAGGGGUCAUCCUCCGCUAUCUCGUCGCCAUUGCCUUCGUUGGGUGUAUCCACUAUGUAUAUGUCAUAUGACGAGGUGGCUUUCCAGUGCCCUAUAGGCGCUGGUUCAUGUUCGUUUCCUACAUCGUCCUCCAUACCGUCAACGUCAUCGGAGUCGAAGUCGAGCAUGUCGGUUAAAUCAUCGACAGUGGCUACUAAGUGGGUGGUGGGUGGGCGUCGAAUUUCUUCGUCAUCCGCACCCCAAUCCCGUUGGCCAUAGUCUGACCAGGGCUCUCCUGACAAAGAAAGAGACCUUAGUGAAUUCAGAAUGUCGCCGAAGGGCGAGUGCUGAAAGAUAUACGCGGUGGUGAAUUCCAUGAUUGGCGCCCAAUCGGAUUCGAUUGGCAGGGGCGCGGAUGGUUCGGAGUCCGGAAAAGAGUUCGGCACCUUGGAGUCACGGGCUGCGCAGAGGGUUAGGCUGGUGUUCGGCUCGAUCGCCGUUGAGACUGCAGCCCUUGAGGCGGUGUCUAACCAUCCGUCCUCGAUUGGCGCAGUUGGCUCCGAGCUAAGGGUCGGAGCUGAUGCGGGCGCGGCCUCUGGGGGGCGUAUACUUCAAGGCAUAUUCAAACAAUCGGCAUGUUUAUCCCUAGAUGUAGCCAACAUACUUGUAACCCUAGAUAGCCCCGGGUGCCUAUAUAAGUCGAGGGGUUUAGCCUGUAGAGGCAUGCUAGAACAUGUUAGAACUCACUCAUACGAUCUCGAGGUACAUCAUCUUGUACUUUGUAUCCCAUCCACAAUCAAUACAAUACAAUUAGGACAUAGGGUUUCACCUCUUCGAGAGGGCCCAAACCUAGGUAAACAUUGUGUUUUUCUCUACCUCCUGUUACCAUUUGGCCGAGACCACCAGCUCGGGACCCCCUACCAAGAUUCACCGGUUUUAGCACCGACAACUGGUUUGAUCACUGCUAGGGCUUGUGCAGUGGCCUUUAGUGGUUGAAAGCUUAAAAUUAUCUAAAGAAACAAAGUAAAAAAGGAUCAAUAUAUGAAGAAAUGAUGUAAAAAGGAUCAGUAUCUCAUCUCAACUGAAUUAUUCUUCAUAGGCUAGCUAAUCACAAAAUCAUCACUCUCUACGAUGAGCAGUGCCGAUGGCCCGUCGAGGAGUAGCGACUCUAGUGACAUCGGCAUGUUGUUUGGGUUGUCGGUGUAGCCCUGUGAGUUGGUCAGGUCCUCACUAGCGAGACCUGCCAUGUUUGUCGGGCGGUCGUCACGGAUUGGGGCAAGGCAGUGGCACUGUCGACAGGCAGCGAUGAUGGAUGCUCGUCAUUGCUUUGCUUGCUCCGGUGCAACUCGAGCACAUUAUGAUGGGAAUUGGCAUUCUUUGAUGGUACAAACAUGGGGCUCGCCAUGGGAUGAUACUCUAGAAGCAGCUUCCCCUACCUGUACCGCAUGUCGCACACGUUGCAUAGUGUGCCUCACUCCUUUGGCACCUCCCCCACCCUAGCAUCUCUAACGGCCCAUAGUGCAUGUAGCUCUUCCCAUUAUUUGUCGGCCAUGGCGCCGAAGGGGAUUCGCUUAUUGGACGCUUCCUCUCUUAUUUGAAAGCUUUCUCGGCGGGUGCACAGAUGGAGGUGUCUCAGGCUCCCAGAUGGGACUCUCCAGUGUGGAGUUGAUGCUUGGGCGCUCCCGCAGGAAUCCGUCACUGACCACCCUGCUGGACGGCACUCCUGUAGCAGCAUCCCCUUCUUGUACCACAUUCCACAGGCGGUGCAGACCUCCCUCCGCCCCAGCAACCCUUUUAUCCACAAAGGUGGCUCCACGACUCACAGUGCAAGCAGCUCGUCCCCGGGACUGGCGCUAGAGAAACUUCUGUCCUGGGAAGCCUCCUCUCCGUGGCCGACUUUCUAACGAGGUAAAUAGCCCUAUGCACCUUGGGCUCCCACAUCGGGCUCUCCAGUGGCGAAUCGACGAUUGGGCUUGCUACCGGAUGGUGCUCCAGUAGCGUCUCAGUCUUACUGUAACAGACCCCGUAGGCAUUACAGAGGAUACCCCGCCCCAUCGACCCUGACCUUCGUUGCAACAUCUCCGCCGCCUUGUAGUGUAGGCACCUCCUCAACCUCUUAGGCGGCUUAUCGAUCAUGCUUGGAUCGAUAAGCAAGGCCACCUGCACACGCUGAGGCGGGAGAACCUUCUCCUCUCUUCUUCCGCGGGGUGGGGCCCUAACCCACGUCCACACGUCAUGUUAACUAUGGGGAACGAAGAUGCCAUGUGGACUUGUGGAUGGGAUUGGGUUGUGAUGAUAGAGGUAGGCCAGAUCGUGAGCCCAAAUCGAGCACGAGAAUUCUUUGCAGCUAAGAAUGACUACAUGGGAACAUUAUCUGACAUGCUUGCAUCACGGAUAAGGCAAGAUACUUGUCGAGAGCUGAGAUGGCCCUGGACACCUCAGAUUUAAUUUGAUAAGCCAUGCUUGCCUUCGAAAGGAAGAUUCAUUGAACCUGUUUGAAGACUGGCGACCCAAGAAGAAGAAUAGUUUAGAUGGACUGAAGUGCAUCUAGACUUGAAGACCAGUCCGGGGCCUACUGGCGGUGCCCGGCUGGGGGGUCUCUCAAUACGCCAUAUCCCGAUCUGUCGGGCCGGGCCGAGGACCCCUAUGUCGUUCCACUAGUGGGCCAUGACGAAAACGACCCAUGGCGUAUGAAGGGAAGGCUCCUGAAGACUUGUCGUGUACUCCAAGAUGUUGGAGGUCAUCCACAACUCAUCCUCUUUGUACAUAGCUAGCUUAGAUGCAACCCUAAACCCUCUGGUACCUAUAUAAACCAAGGGGCAAGGCUCGCAAAGGACACGCAACGCGCCCGCGGUAGAUCAUAUGUACUUUGUACUCCACCCAAAACCAAUAAAACACAAGCAGGGCGCAUGUUUUAUCUCUCUGGAGAGCCCGAACCUGGGUGAAAACUUGUGUCCUUGUGACCAUCAUCUCAAGAGCCUUAGUUCGGGGGCCCCUAAGCGAGAUGUGUCGGAUUUGACUCCAUCACUACCCGCCCCCAGCAGCCACCCAGCGCCGAAGGAUGCUCCUCGCAGCAGCCCCUGCCAAGGGUUGUUGGUGGUGGGGCUGCUCCUCGCCACCAGUAUCUCCUCCCCCGCGAGUCGCAAGCCCCACCGCCGACUGGUGGUGGUGGGGCUGCUCCUCGCCGCCAAUUUCUCCUCCCGUCAGGCCGCACUCCUGUCAACGGUUGUUGGUGGUGGGUUGCUCCUCGCCACCGAUUUCUCCUCACUAUCGGUGAAGGGAAUGAAUAAGGAAGGGAGGGGAAAUAGGAUGGGUCGUGCUUAAUGAGUGGGUCGCUUUCACGCAAGGAUGUUUCUUAACAAACGGACUGAUUGUAUGACAUGGCAACACUGCCCACAUUAAGAUUCGUGUUCAGAUGAUAGCCGAAGCGUCACGUCAGGAGAUUAAAAAUGUAACGUUAGAUUUAUAGUGUUUUCGAAAAUCGAUGCAGAAACCAGUUCCCGGGCUGCAAGAUUUAAAGAAGAUCCCACUCUAUUUGCGCAGAGGAUCAAAGAGGCUCAUAAACCUUUCCUCUUCACCUUUGUAGCUUCACUCCCUUAGAACUUCUAGCUUUCUGUUAGCUCUAUCUUUUGAGUUUAUUUCUUUUUUUUGAGCAUCAGUACAGACACAAGCGCUCAUAUACACGCGCAUACACUCGCCUCUAUGAACGCACACACGCACACCCUACCCUUAUGAGCACCUCCGAAAGACUGAGCCGACACAUCAUCUUGAGAUUUACGAAGUCAUCGUAGGCGUCUUGUCGUCGACGGGAACGUCUCCUCCCACUAAAAGCGCAUCGCCGGAAAUCCUGAAAUAAAUGCAGGAAUAAUGCGAGCACCAGGAUUUGAACCCUAGUGGGUUGGGAAUAUCACUGUCCAUCUAACCAUCUCAACCACAGGUUGAUUCGCUCUUUUGAGUUUAUUUCGCAACAUACCCAAAGUGGUAUGCCUUGCCUUGUAAAAAUGUACAGUGUGGACACGUUGCAAUGCAGGUAAGCAAAUGGCGGUGGAUGUAUGGUUGGUUGCGGCGUGCGUGCGCAGGCGCGUCUUUUGCUGCAGUCGGAAAAUAUUCACUCGUAGCGUGGCCGAGCAUCCGACUCUAGACACUACUAGGUUGUCCGGUCACAGAAGCUGGCAGUCACGCCCCCGGGCAGAUCGUCCUUUGUCUGUCAUCCUGUCAUCUGCUGCCGCCGCACGGUCGCAGCCGCCGUCCAUGGCGACGGCGGAGGAAGGCGAGGGAGGAGAGGUACAAGUAUCGGCUUAUCUUUCUUCACCUUCGGUGGGUGGGCGGGUCGAUCUACAUCUUUAACACGGUGACCUAAAGAUAGUAUUUUUUUUGCUGAGCAGCCACCAGGAUUAGGGAGGGGGAGGUGUCCAAGAUUCCGGCGAUCUGAGGCGACCCGCGGCAUGGCCGGAGGCGGCGGCGUUGGGGGGAAGGAGGAUGGCGGCACGGAGCCCCUACUCCUGUCCGUCCUCGCUCUCCCCGCAACGGCGCUCCCCGCCGUCGUCUCCCGCCUGGAGGCCGCCGUCCCGCGGAAGGCGCGCAGCUACCUCCCCCGCAACGUCCCGUCGGCCUGGUGGUCACUCAGGAUCCCCUUCAUCCAGCCGCUGCCGCCGGCUGGGGACCCGGCAAACGAAGAGGAGGGGAGAAGGUUCCCCCGCACCCAGCGCGUGCAGGUGGCUCCGUCUCUCGAUCCAGGCACGGCCGAUAAGCCGCCCAAGAGAUUGAAGAGGUGCCUGCACUGCAAGGCGGUGGAGACGCCGCAGCGGAGGUCAGGGCCGAUGGGGCGGGGUACCCUCUGCAACGCCUGCGGAGUCUGGUACAGUAAGAACGGGACACUGCCGGAGCACCGUCCGGUGGCAAGCCCAAUCGUCGAUUCGCCGCUGGAGAGCCCGAUCUGGGAGCCCGAGGUGCCUGGGGCCAUCUACCUGGUCAGAAAGUCGGCCACGGAGAGGAUGCCUCCCAGGACAGAAGCUGCGCCAGCGCCACGGCCGGGGACGAGCUGCUUGCACUGCGGGUCCUCGGAUCCACCUUUGUGGAUAGAAGGAUUGAUGGGGCGGAGGGAGGUCUGCACCGCCUGCGGCAUGCGGUACAAGAAGGGGAGGUUGCUGCCGGAGUGCCGUCCAGCAGAGUGCUCAGUGACGGAUUCCCAGCAGGAGAGCCCAGUCAUCAACUCCCCGCCAGAGAGUCCCAUCUGGGAGCCUGAGGCGCCUCCGUCCGUGCACCUGCCAAGAAAGCCUUCAAAGAAGAAGAAGAGGAGGCGGUCUAGAAGCGAAGCCCCUUCGGCGCCAUGGCCGGCGAAUAAGGGGAAGAGGUGCCAGCACUGUGGGUCGUCAGAGACGCCACAGUGGAGGGAGGGGCCAAAGGGGCGAGCCACGCUGUGCAACGCGUGCGGCGUGCGGUACAGGCAGGGAAGGCUACUGCCGGAGUACCGGCCCGUGGCGAGCCCUACAUUUGUGCCAACAAAGCAUGCCAAUACCCACCGCAAGGUGCUCCAGUUGCAUCGAACCAGGCAAAGCAACGACGAGCAUCCAUCACCGUUGCCUGCCGACAGCGUCACCAACCUGCCCCCAAUCCGCAACGAGCUCCCGACCACCAGCACGGCAGGUCUCGCCAGUGAGGACCCGACCGAUGCACCGGGCUACACCGACAACCCAAUCAAUGUGCCGAGCUCACUGGACUCGCUGCUGCUCGACGGGCCGUCGGCGCCGCUCAUCGUAGAGAGUGAAGAUUUUGCGAUUAGCUAGCCUAUAAAGAAUAAUUCAGCUGAGAUGAGAUACUGAUCCUUUUUACUUCGUUUGUUCAGAUACUGAUGCUUGGAAAUUUUAAGCUUUCAAUCACUGAAGGCCAUUGCACAGGCCCUAGCAGUGAUCAAACUAGUUCUGUGAAUUCAACCAUUUAGGUGGAGGAUUUUCGAGUUCCGUUUCUGGUAAAUUUUUUCCCUUUUUCUUUUCAUGACUCCAAUGGAAAAUUAGUGGGCAUGAACCAGCUUAUGGGAUGUGCAUUGAGAAGACAGAUAUGCAUAGUUUGGCAGAAGCAUCAGAUAUUUGGCAAGAUGGUUGCGUAGCUUGUUAACCUAGAUUGCUCAAACCUCCCAUUUCUGAAGCUCCAGAUUGGGCAAGAUGAUGCUUGUGCUUUAUGAUGCUGCUUUCGGCCAUACACACCAAAGGCACAAACAUGUCACCCGCCUUUUACAUUCUGCAUGCUUCCUAAGAUUUGCAAGCUGCUGCUCUCCCUGAAGUUUUUCUUUCAGUUUUGCUAAAGCACAUCUAGAUGUGCCAUAAGUAUUGCACAUCUAAGUCAUAUGUCAUUGAUCUUACAUUGAGAUUCGUGUAAAUAUUUUCUUUCUCUUUUUUCUUUUUCUCUUUAUACUUGAUUCACUCACUUAGAUGUGCAAUAACUAGAGCACAUCUAGAUAUGCCCUAGACACACCCUUUUUCUUUUGGCACAAAUGCACAUCCAUAGGGGGGGACAUGAGAGUUGCAGUAGACUGAGAAAUUCCUGUGACGAUGUGUUUGACGCAAUCCUUUAAGGUGGAGAUGGACCUAAUCUGGGUUAAUCUGUCAUUCCGAAUCUGCAUCAGCCAAAAAUGUUUGUGGAUUUAUUUGUUUUUCAAGUUUAUCGUGGCCACAGAUGUGUGAAGGCAUCGUGGUUUUGUUUGGUUUCCAAUUUCUAGCAGCCAAAUGUGUUUUGGGGGAGCAUUGUGGCUUUCUUUUUAUAUCAGGGCGUGUUAUAGGUUUGAUUCUUGAGCUGCAGAACUGGGUGUUUCAUGCAUUGCGGAUUAAAGAAUGGACUUGGCCUUGGCACCCCCUCGACACCGUUGAUGUCGAAGACGAUCACCUUGAAGCUAUCGGGACUCAGCACCUUGUAGGUGACGUGGUACUGAUCUUCAGCUGGUGAGCUACGACGAGGGGGGCCAUCCUUCAAGGGUGAUCCUGCCGUUGACCACCUGGACCGUGAUUCUCUCGGCAUAUAGCCCGUGUUCAUCCUCAGAACGAGUUCUGGUGCGAUGGUGGUAUGUGCUUGAUGAAGUCAGUGGGCAUCGACAGGUACUCGAACAUAGGUGCAAGAAUGAUCUUGCAGAAGUGACUUGGGCCUGAGUUGUAAUGGAAAUGGUCGUAACUGCGGGGCCUCUUGGGGGCCUUGCCGUCAACCUCCGCCUUGCCGUUCCAGCAGUUGGCUGAGGCUACCUCCUUGUCCGAAGCAGCACUGCCGAGGAUAAGCUUCUCGGCAGAGCACUUCAUUGAACUCCGGCAAAAAAAAAAAAGCACUUCAUUGAACACAAAUGAACAAGAUUAACAUAGCUACCAUGCUAGCAGAUCAAAUAAGNNNNNNNNNNNNNNNNNNNNNNNNNNNNNNNNNNNNNNNNNNNNNNNNNNNNNNNNNNNNNNNNNNNNNNNNNNNNNNNNNNNNNNNNNNNNNNNNNNNNNNNNNNNNNNNNNNNNNNNNNNNNNNNNNNNNNNNNNNNNNNNNNNNNNNNNNNNNNNNNNNNNNNNNNNNNNNNNNNNNNNNNNNNNNNNNNNNNNNNNNNNNNNNNNNNNNNNNNNNNNNNNNNNNNNNNNNNNNNNNNNNNNNNNNNNNNNNNNNNNNNNNNNNNNNNNNNNNNNNNNNNNNNNNNNNNNNNNNNNNNNNNNNNNNNNNNNNNNNNNNNNNNNNNNNNNNNNNNNNNNNNNNNNNNNNNNNNNNNNNNNNNNNACUUCAACUUCGAAAAACCCUAUUUAUCUAUCACCGCAUUCCACUUCAUCUUCCACCCAUCUCUAUCUUGCUCUUCUACUACCUCCUCUUCCACAGCUCUCUCUCUACCUCUCUCUUUCUUACCACCGCUCGAUCACCAUGAACCCCUUCCCCACUGGCCAUGGAUAGACGGCAAUGCUCCUUGAGUGCUCAAGUGGCGACUACCUGGAGUUUGUGAAGAUGAUGGAUGUGUGCUCCCUGUUCAACACCGUGGACGAGAUGAUCAAGGAGGUAGGAGUUGUGCUCUUGCAGGCAACAGAGAUGAAGACGCUGAUGCAUGACCGAGCCAAAGGCGCUAUGUCAAUGAACAUACUGUUCUGGGCAAUGGAGGAGGCCGAGUCGGCCGGUCAGGUCAGAGAACUAGAUGGGCCAAGUAAAGCUCUGUCGUAGCUCCUGCUGACCAGGAGAUCGUUGCGGUGACGCCGCCCACAAUUGUUCUCGAGGAUGACGACGAGGAGGAGAUGGUGGAUGUUGGCAAUGCCGAAGCGGUCGAGAUGGUGGCUUGGGUUACUGAGCCUAGCUGCUCUACAAUGCCGUUGGAGGUCAAUGACUACCAGCGUCAAAGCUACUGUCGCUCGAGGCGCCUCCAGGCCCGUCGCGCAUAGUCAAAAUCAAGGGAUUUAAGGGGAUUGUCAUUGAUUUAACCUCAUUUUACUCCAAAUCCUUCCCGAUCCCCUUGUGCGGACUAAUCGAGCAAGCCCCAGAUCAAUGACUAGAUCUCUCUCUCUCUGUGUGUGUGUGUGUGUGUGUGUGUUUAACCGAUGUCUAAAUUGAUUUUUCUCCAUUUAGUCUAUGCUUAAAUGGAACUCUCUCUAUUUAGUCGAUGGGUAAUUAGAUGCCUACACUGAUCCCUGCGAAGGCAUGGAGAGAUGGCUUACCACCAUUGACGAAAGCGUGGCGGAGAGAUGAUGAAUCGGUGAUGAAGAUAGUGCUAGUCAAAAUCAAGUGAUUUAAGGAGAUUGUCAUUGAUUUAACCCCCUUUUAGUCAAAAUCCUUCUCAACCCCCUUGUGCGGAACUAACCGAACAAGCGCUAAAUCGAUUACUAAAUCGAUCUCGCUCGGUUUAAUCGAUGCCUAAAUCGCUCGAAUUAAUCGAUGCUUAAAUUGAUCUUUCUCCAUUUAAUCGAUGCCUACAUCUAUCUCUCUCCGAUUAAUCGAUGCGUGUAGUUUAAUCGAUGGGUAAAUCGAUGCCUAGAUUGAUUCCUGUGAAGGCAUGGAGAGAUGGCUUACAGCCAUUGACGAAGGCGUGGCAAAGAGGUGCUGAAUCGGUGAUGAAGGCGGUGCUAGUCAAAAUCGAGGGAUUUAAGGGGAUUGUCAUUGAUUUAAUCUCCUUCUAGUCAAAAUUCUUCCCAACCCCUUGUGCGGACUAAUCAAACAAGCCCUAAAUCGAUCUCAAUAUGUUUAAUCGAUGCCUGAAUCAAUCUCUCUCCACUUAUCUGAUGCCUAAAUCAAUCUCUCUCCGCUUAAUCGAUGCCUAAAUCGAUCUCUCUCCGUUUAAUUGAUGUGUGAAGUUUAAUCGAUGGGUAUAUCGAUGCCUACAUUGAUCCCUACGAAUGCGUGGAGAGAUGGCUUACCACCAUUGAUGAAGGUGUGGCGGAGAAGUGAUGAAGCUGGUGUUCGCCAUGCAGAUCUUGCCUCCUACGAUGGUCACCGCCGUCGGUGAGAGUGUGGAGAGAGGGGGAGGGGAGUGGGAGGUGAGAGGAUUUAUGGCCGCAUCGGGCAACAACGCGACGUCUCUCGUGUGACCCUGCGCGUCUAGCCGCCGUCGGUGAGAGAAU